CAUGCCCAAUGACACUCUCGCCAAGCAUCUCUUCCACUGUAUCAUCUUCUUCUUCUUUCAUUUUUUUUUUAUUCCUUUUUAACUUGUCUCUUGUGUUGUUGUGUCUUACUUCCUUCUUCCUUCCUUCAGGGGAAACUCAGACUAUUGAGUGGGCCAUGCGCUUGCGGGUUGCUCUUUACAUCGCACAGGCUUUGCAUUAUUGCAGUUCGGAGGGGCGCCCCCUGUACCAUGACUUGAAUGCUUACCGUGUUCUCUUCGACCAGGAAGGUGAUCCUCGUCUCUCUUGUUUCGGUUUUAUGAAGAACAGCAGGGAUGGCAAGAGUUAUAGCACUAAUCUUGCUUAUACACCUCCUGAAUAUUUAAGAAACGGUAACUAACCGCCUUCUUGCUACUUAUUUACUUUUAUAACUCUCACCGAUUACUACGUUUCUCUCUAUUCAAAUAAUUCCUUUUCUGUUCUAUUAUCACAGGAAGGGUCACUCCUGAAAGUGUCAUUUACAGCUUUGGAACUGUCCUUCUAGACCUUCUCAGUGGCAAACACAUUCCUCCCAGUCAUGUAACUGCCUUCUAUCCUUUUACCUUUCUCUUGCCUUACUACUUUGCACAUUUUUUUUAACUCUAUAUCAAACUCUCACCUUCUGCAUUAAUAAUGUCCACUGCUAGUUCUCUUGGGAGUAUUUCUUACCUAUCAAAAUAGCCUCGCAAGCAGGAUUAUCUGUAACCAAUUCAUGGCUCCAUAUAUAGACAUUGUUGAAUUCGGGUAUAUCUUUCAUUUGCAUGCUUAACUACCAAACAUAGGAUGAACAAAUCAUUAAAAACUAUAAAUGAAACCUCCCUUCCCUGAAUCAACUUGCCCUUUCCACGACCUGUUGUUGUAUUAGUUGUCUAAUAUUUCCACAUAUCAUUAAAAGCUUUAAAUGCUUCUAUGUUUUUAAUUGUGGUAUUUUAGUCUUAAACGUGUAAUUCUUAGUUUCAGUGUUUUCCCUGCGGAUCUUGGCUGUUAUUGUGUUUGCAAGUGCUUGUUAUAUUACCUUAUAAAUGAUAUCAUGAUAUAGUACAAUAAAUUAACCGUGAACAUUUCCUAAUGGGAACUCAAGGUAUGGCAAUCAUUUUCUUUGAUUGAUAACUAAAAAUGGAAGUUGCAGAUACUAUUAUAGGUAGCUGAGUUUUUUACAUCAGUUAUGGAUGCUGACUUGUUCAAUUAGCUUUUUUGGUUGGUGCCAUAUGGAGUUAUCUGAUUUUGUUUGCAGGCACUUGAUAUGAUACAGGGGAAGAACAAUAUGCUCUUAAUGGAUUCACAUUUGGAGGGAAAGUUUUCAACAGAAGAAGCAACAGUGGUUGUUAAUCUUGCCUCCAAAUGCUUGCAAUAUGAACCGAGGGAGCGGCCUGAUACAAAAGAUUUGGUCACAACACUUGCUCCAUUGCACACAAAACCCGAUGUACAUAUCCCUUCUUUAACUUGAUAACGAAGCAUAUUUUUUACUGAAUACUGGGAUUGAAACUUUGUUGCUUCAACAACCUUACCAUAUAUUCCAUCGUCCACAUGAAUUAGGCUUCAUGUUGGAUGUUCAAGUUCCUAAAUGUCUAAUAUUUAAAUUCUCUGACUCGUGAUAUUUAAUAUUUCUCUUUGAUUACUCAUCGCAUAAUGAAAUAUGCUUGGUUGGUGUCACUUAGCUCACCAUCCUCAAAUUACAUUAAAAAAUGGCAAUCCAAAUAUUAGGCUGUGAUUUACAAAUGUUCAUUUUGAAUCUGAUUAGGAUUUCUUUAGGCCCUAAACUUCUUUUUCUUGAGAUGAUAUAAUAUGGUAAGGGUUUUGUGUAUAAGAUAGUUUAUAUAUGUUUGAUAUGUCAAGUUCUCAAACUGCCAAAGUAAUUGGUUUAUUGUUCUAGCUGAUUGAGAAGUUCAGUUAGGAAAGAGUUAGUCAUCUUUGUUGUUUGGUCCUUGUUUAAGAGUUAUUCUAUAUCUAUUUCAUACCAUGAUAUUGUUACGGAGUAUUCAUCACCUUCAGUGAUGACUAAUCUCCGCUCAAGAACCUAACUGGUCACCUUUAGCGAGGUCUCUUCCCAAAAAAUAAAUCUUUAAUGUAUUACUAUUAGUUUGUUAGUUUUAAAGGAUAAACGAAAUUUAGGUAAUUUUUCUGAUGUGAUGUUAUCUAGAAAUAUACACAAUAUGACCUUGAAGAAACCUGCUCUUUACAUACAUCUGUCUCAUAAAGAGCUUAGUCAAAGCUUUUUAUCUAUGCCUAGUUCUCACAAUUUGGGCUUAGGGCUUAAUAUAGCUCCAUUAAAGAACUGGUUUGUAAGUCAAGGACUGUCAAAUCUUUAUACGGACUACAUUGACAAUAUUUCUAGUUGAUGGGUUUUUUUAGUAUAGACUCAUAACUUUCUUGAGUAAUUGUCUACUAUCGACAAGAAGUAUCUAGCACUAGAGUGUGAUGGAGUUGAAGAUGGUCCCCAUGAAUGUAGUAGUCUAGAGUUUCCUUUGGUCUCUGUUGUGCUACAUUAAGUUGGACUUUGCAAACUUUACCUUGUAUGCAGUAUUCUCCUUUGAGACUGGUCUCAACACCUUGCUACCAAAGCUAAACACAAUUGUGUUAUGAGUAUUCCCCAAUAGCACUUUCUUGUCCUUUUCCGGCAUGGCUAUGUCAAGCUUGAUUCACCUUCUAGUGCUUCAAGGAGACUUAGUUGAACUAGAAGGCAUGCAUCUUCAACCACGCUAAUUAAUUUUUUUAAAAAGCGCUUAAAUAAGUAGAGAAGACACAUGAACACUCACCAGUGCACAUGAUUCGCAAUUUCCUGCAUGGUGGCUUCAGACUGCCACUAUGCAAUGCCCAACGUGGCUGCUAUGAGCCACCGUGUGAAACCUGGUUUGACGGCUAUCCAACGUACUCAAUCAUAUUCAUAAACUCUUUUACCACGAAAGAAUUUGGACUUAAGCUCCUAGUCAAUCUUAAAGUCAACUUCAAAAAUUAACAUGUAAAGUGAGAACUGUCAAAGCCUUAUAAGGAUUACAUAAGUCUUAUCACUAGUCUAUUUGAGAUCUUAAAACACUCCUUUUGCCUCUUAUUCAAUAACUAUGCUCUCUCAAAGCCUAAAAAUAGACAUAUAGUGUAGAUAAAUACAAGUGGCCCAAAAUGAAUCUAUGGUAAGUUUUGAGAUUUUCUUAAAAUUUAGGAUUAAAGCCUAACUCAAUCGUACAAUAGUGACUUGUAAAGUGUGAAUUGGUUGAGCUUUGUGAGCCCUAUUUAGGUAAUAUCUUUAGGUAAUGUUGGACUAAACACAUUGCUUAGUACUGCAAUUAAGGAAAUACUAGAAGAAGUUGCAAUUAAGGUGGGUUUGGAGUGAGUGAGUGAUUUCAGUUACGGUGGCUUUCUAACACUCUUUUCAUGCCCAAGGAUGUGUAGGUGACCCAAAAAUGAAUAUAGGAUAAACUUAAGUACUAUUUUAUAGAACUUUAAUCCCAUGGAAUUUACUUUUAGAAAACUAUCCAAGCCUUAUAAACACUACCUUAGCCAUAUUUAUGUGGAAUCUCGACACCACAUGCUCAUUAUCUAAUAACAAAAUCCCUCCACAUCUAAGAACAUAUAUUUAGACCAUGGACAAGUACAGUUGGUCCAGUAAUGAAUUGAUAACAGACUCGAGGUUGCAAUUAAGGUAACUCCUAAAUCCUCACACUCAAACCUAUGGGUCAAGAGCAUGACAAUAUAGGUGGCCUAACAACGAGUCAAAAUACUAUCUUAGAAUAAAAACCUCCCUCAUGCCUAGAAAUAAACAUCUAGACUGGAUAGAAAUACAGGUGACUAAGUAACAAAUUUAGGAUAGAUUGAUGCAUCUUAACAUUUGGGUUUAGGGCCUAAUGGAAUCCCCAAAAUCAUCUUGUAAGGAAAGGAUUAUUCGAGAUAUAUAAAUUAUAAUAUCUGUUUUAACUAUGUCUCUAGGUGACGGGAAACUAAAUACACAUGUUCAAGGCUACAAUUAAGACAACCCCAAAUAGGCCAAAGGCCUAGCCAAGGGUAAUCAAUCAAUCACAAUUAAGGUGGUUUCAACGCUAAGAUACAAAUCUGAAUUCAUAUUAUUCAAUCAUUUUAUGUGUAGGACAAUCUAGUACAUGAUUCCUACCAAAUGGAGUCUAGGGAGGAUGUAUGUAUCAUGCAAGCUUAGCCCCCCAAGCGAAGAGAGAUUAUUUCAGGAAUUUGAAUAUUUGACUUUUAAGUCAUGGGGCAACUGUUUUCCUGCUGUGUUCAUACUUGACCUAUCUGUCAGCACUGUAAUUAAUAGAUGACCCAGUUGUUAGACUUGCAUGAUUUCAAGGUUUCAGCUUAUGUUAUGCAUCUAGUUGAAUGACAUUAUGACCGGUACAAAAUUUUCUUUGGUUGCCAUUGGACUUCAAUGAGCCUGAUGCUACUUUUAGGUUUGCAUGUACUUGCAGCUGGAAAAUUCUGAACCAGUACAUAGUAUAUACGAUAUUCAUGCCUAUACACCGAAGAUUUUGAACAUAUAGCUAUCACAAAAUUUAGUUAUCUAUCUAUAAAUUUUAACUUUGCAUUAAUGCAUGUCUUGCCAGAAUGUGUUCAAGAAUAAUAAAACUAGUGCACAAGUCAAGCUAAUUCUAUGCAAUGCUGAGCGUGACUAAAUAAAGUUCUUCCACGCAUAGUAUUUAUUAUUUGUCAUGCAUGCAAGUGUUUUAUUGUCUUUCCCGCUUAUCAUGUAUUUGUCGGUGUACAAAAGUAAAAAAGGGAUUGAAGGUGCAUGGUGAGCUGUAGCAAUGCCAACAUCUCUCACUUGAUAUGGAAAUGUAUCGUUGUUAAACGGCAAUGUAGUUAUAUGAAAGGAAAUAAGCAGGAAUAAUUGUAAUUGAUUAUUAAUGUUACGUGCUUCAGGUUCGUUCUCACAUAAUGCUUGGAAUUCCAAAGCACGAGGAAGCUCCAUCAACCCCACAACGCCCUCUUUCAGCAAUGGGAGAGGCUUGUUCAAGAAUGGACCUUACUGCAAUACAUCAGAUCUUGGUCGCGACACACUACAGAGAUGAUGAAGGAACUAAUGAGGUAACUCAUGGGUUCAGUGGUUUUAAAUUCACUACUUUUGGUUAAAAAAUAUGCCAUAAAGUUUUGAAUUUGGAUUGGCUCAGCUGUCGUUCCAAGAGUGGACUCAACAGAUGAGAGAUAUGCUGGAGGCAAGGAAGCGUGGAGACUAUGCAUUCCGUGACAAAGACUUCAAGACAGCCAUUGAUAACUAUUCCCAGGUGCAAUAUAGCAUUUGUUUGACAUUUGCAAAUGAUUGUGUCUAAGCUAUUUGCAUGCUAAUUUUUUUGGUUGCUUCUGCGUUGUUCUACGCGUGCAGUUUAUUGAUGUGGGAACGAUGGUCUCCCCAACUGUUUUUGCGAGACGCAGUCUAUGCUAUCUGUUAUGUGAUCAACCAGAUCCUGCACUACGUGACGCAAUGCAAGCACAGUGCGUUUAUCCAGACUGGCCGACGGCUUUCUACAUGCAAUCAGUUGCUCUUGCGAAGCUGGACAUGCACAAGGAUGCGGCUGAUAUGUUAAAUGAGGCAGCUGCAUUGGAAGAGAAGAGACAAAGAGGAGCAAGAGGAUCGUAAUUUAUGCAGUGAGCUAAUUUGAGGGUGCUAAGUUCUGUAUAAAGGUUGAGCUGGGAAGCAAAACUAACAUUUGAGUGAGUUUAAGAUGUGUCAGAGAAAUACAACACUGGUGGAGUAGAUGGCGCACGCACUUUAUUUCACCAUCUUAUAGGAAUCGGUCACAACUUGAAAACUGUGCUUAUGCACUCUGAAUUGGGAAGGAAUACCGGUAAUUUUUCCAUUGUUAAUGAAAUUGAUUGUUUGAUGCCUACUGGGUUACCGUCAACCAAGUGUUUAUUGAGGUUAUUCUAACUCUUCACUGGUCAAGGCCUCGGUGUUCAUAAUAUUAUGUUAUGUCUGCAUAAUCUAUCUACAUGGAGUAAUUGUAAUACACAUGCAAUCUCUCUCUUCUAUUCGUAAUAUUAGUUGUUGGAAGUGAUACAUUCUGUUUAAAUUUCCAUGAUUGGUAAAUCCUGAACACAAAGUAGGCAGCACAUACACUAUUUUUAAUCAAGCGUUUAAUUUUUAUCUUUACAGAUAUUUAUAAUGCUUUUGUUCGGUUUAUAGAACUGUGAACUAUUUUUUCAUCAUGACUUUUUGUUUCCCUAAUGUACUCAUUAAUAGUUGUAGUUUAUAAUACUACAGACACAUACAUCUACAUGAUUAUAGAGAUUUGUGGGUUCAAUUUAGUCUCAGUUUGUUAAAAAGUGGAUUAUUGGUUAAGUUGAAAUUGAAGUCAUUGAUAUCCACUUAAAAUAUUCACUUACAUUGUAUAAAUUCACGGUUUUAAAAUUACUUUAUGUUUAUUUAAUUUGAUACUUUCUUGAUUCUUCAAUUGUUUCUGAACCACACAUGUCCGGUGAUCGUCGGCAGCUGAAGUAGUGUCAUCUAUAGUGACACGUCGCUGACUUCCAAAACAAUUCAAUUCACGCUCUUUCUCUUCCUGCACGCCCUUUAUUACUAAUUACACUCCAUACUAAUAGAAAAAGACUAAAACACCUCUCAUUAUACCGCUACUGCUGUCAUUGUUUCAGAGGGAGAAUUCGUUGUCGAAACUAAUAAUUUAAGUCACUUUGACUGAGGGUGAAAUGGUAAUUUUAGAAAGAGCUAAAUAUAUUUUUCUUUCUAAAUUAAUUUAUAUUUCAUACUUUAAUAUAAUGUGAUAUUUAAAUGUAAAAAGGAAAAAGAUAUAAUUUCUUUUAGCUCUCAGGCUAAAUAAAAAUACAAAGACUGUUUAUUUCUAGACUCUUAUAGUUUUUAAGACGCAUCUACAAUUUUUAAAAUUAACAUUUUAUUAAAAAUUACAAUUUAAUAAAAGUUGUUAGAAUUUCAAAUUUAAGUCUAAGAAUAAAUUUUACGAAACAAGAUUAAAUGAGUCUUUAUUCUUCUUCUUCUUCUUUUGCAGCUGCAAUGGUGCAGCCGUAGCAAUGGUGGCACCGACAGAAAUGAGGGUGGUGGGAACGAAGGAGGUGCAGUUGGUAAUUAUUGGUUGCAGGAAGAAAAAACAAAGAUGAAAAGGUAUUAAAAAAAAAGUAGAGCGGUCAUAUUCUCUUACUGUUUUAGUGGAUGAUGGAAUGAUUGUCGAAAAGAGGAGUGAGUGGAUGUUCCAAUUUUAUUAAUUGCACGAUAAACACGUGCUAUUAUUAUUUCCCUAUUGCGAAUUUGCAAAUUGAUAUGCUAUGCAAGUGUGUGUGUGAACAGAGAAGCAAAAGCUGCACCAUCUAAUAAAUAUAUAAAUAAAUGAGAUAGUGUUCUUGUUUAGGAACUUGUUCAUCUUUUUCAUGCCUUGUCUUGUUUCGAUUUUUUAAGGAACAUGCCAUGCUUGUCUUGAUUCGUAUCUUUAAUAAUUUUUUUAUAAUUAUUUAUGUGAUAAUUUCUAAUUGAUCGAUUUUAAAUAUACUAUGUUGAAAUGCAAACAAAGUUUCACGUUGAAUAAAAGAAAAAUUGAUAAGAGUUUAUAUACACAUAGAUAUCUCUAUUGAUAAGAAAAGCCUUUUGAAAUGGUGACAAAAACAAAAGACGUGAGAACUUGACUCAAAACGAAUAAUAUCUUAUCAUGUGUGAAGAUCUAUGUGUGUGUUGAACCUCGAAAAUAUACCAAUAUAUAAAUAUAAAAAUCAUUAAAUAAUAAUACAUAAUCUCUCAUAAAAAAAUUGUUAAAAUAAAUGAUCCUGUUCGUAUGCCUACCAAAGUACGCUGUCGUGAGUGCUGACCUACAUUUCAACGUGAGUCUCUUUUCUUUAUCAUUCCAAUCACUUUCCACGUCCUUCUUAACUUAACUCUUUUUAAUUGCAUCGCCUUAAUAAUAAUACAUUUUCCAUCUAAAUUUUUAACUCAACUUCUUCUUUAUUGUGCCUCAGAUCUUAUAAUUUGCAUGAUUUCUUUACGAUAACGAAUGAACCUAUUUAAUUAAUCAGUCUACGAAAAUCGAUAAUUUAUGUAAGUUUUCAAUGUCAUUCUUAAGACUAUUGAGAUUUCAAUACCUUAAUAAUUUUUAAUUUAUUAGUCAGGAGCGUCUCUCCAUUGGUCUUCGUAAUAAGGAUAUUUUUUGCUAAAAGGAAUAAUGCAUUUGACAACUUCAAGAGAAUCAGAGAUUGGUAUGAUUUCUUGGAGAUUAUGAUUUUCGUCUUUAAAAAACCAUUGCUUGUUUCGAAAAUAUUUCCUUAGCUGAAAAGUUUAAAUUUUCAAAUACGAGAAUCAAUUAUCAAUACACACUUAUUAUUACACGAUACUUUUAGAAAGAAAAAAGAGCAAAUGUUAUAAUAGGCAACGUAAUAAUACAGUAGAAAAAAAUUAGUAAUACUUUGACCUACGAAAUUUUUUUACAUUGUCCUUUUUUACUUUUUAUUCUUUUCUUUUUUAAAUAUAAAAAUUUAUAUUUUUAUAAUUAUUUUAUCUUUAUAUUGUGUAAUGUAAAAAUGUGUCAUUAUAUAAUUAUUGUAAAUAUAGUUAUUAUAUAUAAAAAAAUAAUUCUCUGGUACAUUUAAAUUUUUUACAUUUAUUUGUUAUUAUCUUUGUAUUUUUAUACUCUUUUUCUUAAAAAAAAAAUACAAAAUAUUUAUAUUUUUAUGACCAUUUUAUAUUUUUAUUUUGUGUCAAAUGAAUGUAAAAGUGUGUCUUGUACCAUUAUUCUCUCUCUAUAUAUAUAUAUAACCUUUAUAAAUAUAACUUUAUUUUUAUCUUAUAAUAAGUGUAUAUAAUGUAAUGACCAUGAUAUUUUAACAAUUUUUUGACAAUAGAUCACGUGUCAUUAUUUUAUUAAUUCAUACAUUUUUCAUCACGUAAUCAUAUGAUGGGUAUAGUGCUUAGUUAUUAGCCUAAAGUAUUUGUUAAAUAAUAAUGUAUAUAAAGGUGGGAUUAGAGUUGUAAUUAUGGUAUAAUAAAGUAGAAGGAUGUGAUAUGAAUGGUUGGAAUAGUAAAUGGAAAAUUGGAUUAAUGCCUAACCUACCUACGUUAUCUAGUUGUUCCUCGUUGUAGGCGCCAUUAAUAACAUGCAACUCUUCUCACGUUUCUUCUCUAUCUAUAGAAAUCACUAAAAACAUUCGAAAAUUAAACUUGUAAGUGCAGGAAGAAAACAGUGUGAAUAUUUUAAAAAGCAGAAAUGGAGUAUUUGUAAUGGGAGAGAGGAAAUGAAGUUUUGGAGGCACGUGUGGAGUUCAAAGGCAGCUUUGUAGUUGAAAAAAAUAAUAUAAAUAGGUCUGAGAAGCUCAGUUCAAGAUCGUCAAAGAUGAUGAAGAAGAAGGAAAUAGUCAUCCUCGUUCCGUAUCCCGCACAGGGACAUGUCACUCCCAUGCAAAACCUAGCCUGGGCUUUCCUGGCCCAAGGAUUUCACCCUCUCAUUGUCCUUCCCCACUCUUUCCACCGCAAGAUGCACGGUCAGGAGGAGCAGGACGGGCUCGGGUGGGUGGGCCUGGGUGAUGGGAUGGGCCAGGCGGAGGAAAGCCCAGAUUUCUUUGCGAUCGAAUCGGCCAUGGAGAAGAGGAUGCCGAGUGAUUUGGAAGGCCUGAUAGAGAAGGUGCGUGGAGAGGGUGGUGAGGUGGCGUGCCUCGUGGUUGAUCUCUUGGCCUCUUGGGCCAUAGAAUCGGCCCACAGGUCUGCCAUCCCCGUUGCUGGGUUCUGGCCCGCCAUGUUCGCUUCGUACCUUUUGAUCGCUUCCAUUCCUCUCAUGCUCAACCGUCGUCUCCUUUCUCACAACGGUCUUUCCUUCACUUUCCUCCAUUCUUCUGUAACUAUAAUAUGAACUACAACAACUCUUCUAUUAAUUAAUUACUAUUUUAUGUUGGUAAAAAUUUCGUUAAAGCAAUAGUUGUAUUUUUACCGAUGAGGAACUCUUGUAAAUAUUCAAACUUUAAUCAUAAAAUAGGAUUUAUCUGCUUUAAAAAUUACACUUUGCUGCAUUUUCUCCCUACAUCUUGUUUUUCUUUCAUAUUAAUAUACAUCAAAAUUUAAUCUUUUCAACACUCACUCCUUUCCGUCCAAAACGUGACAUUCACACUCAAUAUUUUCCAAUUGUUUAUGAUUACAAGUCCGAGGUUCAAGUUACACGAAAAAUUAUAUUUUUACACACAUGAUUUAUUUUAUACUAUUCAUCCUUACUUUUUUAUUUAUUUUUUUUAAACUAUAAAAGUUAACUUUUUAAGGUUAUUUUUUUCUGAUUAGAUGUGUCUGUGUGCCACGAUAUUUUUAUUCAAACAUGAAAAGAAUAAUUGUACUAAAAUACAUUUUUAUAUUUAUACAUAAUAUAAAAAUAAAAUAGUCGUUAAAUUAUAAAAUUUUAUAUAUUUUUUUUAUGAAAGAAAAAAUAAAAAGUAAAAGAAAUAGUAUCAUAUAAAUGUAAAAUGUAAAAAAGUUAAUUUAUUUUGAAGUCCCUCUUAGACUAUAUUACUAACACUGUCUGUGUUUGUAUUUUAUACACUUUGCCAAUGGUGAUAUAGCCCUGUUUUACUUUCUUUUGCAGGGCUUCCGCAACACGAGGGGAAAUUCAGCCUGGAUCCCGAGCUGCCGGUGAUUUCAACCGAGGAUCUACCGUGGCUUGUGGGAACAGAAGCUGCGAGGAAAGCGAGAUUUAAAUUUUGGAAAAGAACUCUGGAGAGGUCAAGUGCUCUGAAAUGGCUGCUGGUGAAUUCGUUUCCCGCAGAAAGCAAACUGGAAGUGGAAAACAGGAAGAUGGGUACAGAAGGGUGGCCACGCGUGUUGCCUAUAGGGCCUAUGUGCAGGAAUGGGAUAGCGAAAAGUGUGAGCUUUUGGGAGGAAGAUAUGAGCUGCUUGAAGUGGGUGGCAAAGCAGAAGAAGAAGUCAGUUGUAUACAUCUCAUUCGGAAGUUGGGUGAGUCCAAUCGGGGAAGCAAAGCUGAGAAAUCUGGCAGUGGCGCUUGAGGCUUCGGGGAGGCCAUUCAUUUGGGUGUUGAGGUCGAGUUGGCGGCAAGGCUUGCCGAAUGGAUUUCUGGAAAGGGUCGAGAAGGAAGACAGAGGCAGAGUGGUGAGUUGGGCACCGCAGAAACAGAUUUUGCAGCAUGAUUCCGUGGCUUGUUAUAUCACACACUGUGGAUGGAAUUCCAUAUUGGAGGCUUUGCAGUUCGAAAAGAAACUGUUGUGCUACCCUGUGGCAGGGGACCAGUUUGUGAACUGUGCGUUUGUUGUUGAGGUUUGGAAGGUAGGCUUAAAACUCAACGGGCUGGAGCCAAAGGAUGUUCAAGAAGGAAUUCUUAGGGUGAUAGAAGAUAAGGAGAUGGAAGGACGGUUAAAACUACUGAAUCAAAGAAUCAUGGCUGCUAACAAUAACAUGGGAGCUUCCAUGUUCAAAACCUUCCUAGAAGAUCUCAAAAGGACAUCUUCAACAACUACAACCACUCAAGAUGCAACUGAAAUAAACAUUCCUUGUUAUUGAUUUUCCAACAACAACAGUAAUUGUGCUAUAUGUUAUAACUAUACAUUGGACUAAAAUUCCCAGCUAGAAGGAUUGAGGUGGAGAGUUCUGAAACUAACGAUAAUGUUGUACUAUUCAGAAGGAAUAACAAGCACUUCAAUCUAUGUAUAUUGUUUAGUGGAAGUCUAAUAAUAGUAGUAAUUUCCCCUUUUGUGUGCAUUGUAAGAUAUUACAAAGUUUCUAAUUUCGCUACACUUAGUUGAAUUGUGCUUUAUAUUAAUGAGUAUUUUUCUCCCUUAAGUCCUGAGUUGAGUAGCUCAAAAUAAAAAACACAUCCAAACCAGAUAUGGUGUAGCUGUUUUUGAUUUUCUCAAGCUCGCCAAACUUAAUUAACAUGUUUCAGUAAAGAAAAUAAAACUGUCAUAUAUAUAUAUGAUGGAGGGUUGAAAGAGACCUUUUUCAUUGAAGAAAUAUCAGUAUCCAGAGGAAAUACAAAGAAGGAACAGGGAUUCGUUCAUAUAUAUAUUAUAUGACUAAUUAUUGUCACUGUUCCUUUGGUAAGAUUUUCGUUUCUUUCUCCUCUGCAGGAAAUUCUGAAGUGAUUUCUUGAUGGAGAGGUGUGGCGAAAUAUGUACUAAUAAUGCUUCAGAACGCAAGCUUCUGGUUUUCACCAUUUCUCUACUUGCCAACCAUAUUAUCGCUCUUGCCUGCAUUCAUAUAUUUCAUUUUUAGACUUUGCUUUUCGUUUAAUUAACAACCAAUUCAACAAUUAUUAUUUUCCAGAUUUAGAGAAAACAUAAAGCACACUCCUUUUAUAUUCUAACUCUUGUAUUUCUUGUUCUAAUAUAAGUAUCAAUAAAGGGAAGAGAACAAAAAGCACAUUUCAAGAAAGAACAGCUCGGUUAAAUAAAUACAUUAUUCAAUAAGAAAUUUUGAUCAUAAACAAUUAUAAAUUUUAAUUAAUCAAUGUUGAAUGGAUACAUGAUUACAAAAACCGUUAUAAUGUGGUUAAUGAAAUACUACAAUUUUACUUACAAUCUAUCAAUGUAUAAUUAGAGAUAUUACCUGAAGUUCUGUAGUGUCAAAAAUGCAGUGGCGUUGGUUAUGAAGAAUAGCAGCAAGUUUAAUACUGUGUAGGUUGAAGUUCCCAUUCCUACAAAUAUCUUGCAGUAAAGGAGGAAAUCAGUGAAUAAGGAAUGAAGAAGAAGAUGUGGUGAGUGAGAUAGGCAUAUAAAAAAUAAGAAACAGUAGAAAAUAUUGAAAAAGAAAGAGUGGAGGUUGCUUGCAUUGAAGUAUGAGAAGAGGAAGAAUGAAGACGAAGAUCGAGAUAGCAGUUUCUCUUCAUAUAUUAACUGGAAAAGUGAAAAAUGGAAGUAUAUUGGAGAAGUAAAAAAAAGGACAGGAAGAGACAGAGAUUUGAAGGUUACACAAAUAUAUAGAUAUAAAAAGGAAAGAAUGAAAAUGAGUUGAAAAAAUAAGAAUGUGUGGGAAAUGAGUUACACAUGGCAAAACUAUUGAAUAUGGUUAGAGAUAUUAGGUAAGAUAGGUUUUAUGAAUCUGCAUUUUCAUGUGAGUUCUAUAACAUGACAGCUACCAUUGUUUGCUCUUCCAAAGUGCAUUCUUACCCAAAUUGGAAAUUAGGUCACUUGGUCGACUUUACUUUGUUUUACUUUCUCUGUGUAACUCCCUCUUUCUGCAUUAUAUGUGUCUUGUACGUCCUCCCUCUCAUUUCUAUCGCGUGAUACAAUUAAUUUGAAAAUGACAUUUUUUAAGAAAAGACACUCAACUUCUUAAGAGAACAACUUAAAUUUAAUUUAACUUUUCAAAAUCAAAAAAUCGACUUAUAAAAUAAAAUAAGUCCAUAAUUUUUCAUUCACUUAUAUACUUUAAAUUGAUCGAUUAAUUUUAAACAUCUUUUUUACAACUCACUUUUUAUAGUUUUUUCUAUCCCUUGGUUUCUAUUUUUUCACAUUUCUGUGUGAAUUUUGAGUAGAAAAGUAGUUUGUUAAAAGUGAACCUAAUGGAAGAGUAGAUAUUAUUGAUGGAGUCAUGUGAGCAGUGUCUAAUGUUGUCAUGUGUCACGUUCCACGUGUGAGUGAGUGUUGUGAAGUCGUGCAUGGUUGUUCUACUACUUGAUUAGAAAGAGUGAAAUAUCUAAGAAUCAUGUGCUCCACUUUGUCGGCCUAAUACCCUUUGAUAUUUUUAGCCUAUGGAUAUUUGUAGCAUGUAGGUCUGACUUGGGAUAAAUAUAGGUUCGGUUUAACCUCGUUGAUUUCAGUCCAAAAUCACUUUAGUAUUUUAAAAUCCAUCUCCAGUCAGAUAUUUUAUAAAGACAAUUUAUAUAAUAAUUAUUUUUAUAAUAGGUUAUGAAAUAACUAAUUAGCAGUUCAUAAACUCCUCUGUUCUUUCUUUUCUUUAAAUGGAUAUUUUGGGCUUACCUUAACAUUAGAAUGCGCAAAUUUUGUGAAGACUAUGCACAAUUUUUUUAAUACUGUGAUUUCAUGAAUGGUUAAUUUCUCAUGGGUUUACCUUUAUAUUUUCCAAUUUAAUAGAUUUCAGCCGGAUCUGCCUACAUGAAAUUCAUGCACUCUAAAACACCUCGCGAAGCUAACAACUUUCUUUCUUUUUCUUUAUUUUGUCAUACGAGUAACUUUUCCUAAACUUGCAAAUUUGCACUGAAGGGGUGUUUCAUCAAAUAGGUUGAAUUACAUUAUAAGAGUGUUUGUGAGCGAAAGGGAAGAACAUAGCAUAGGAAAGUACCCUUUAACUAUGAUCUUGGUUCACACCUUCAAGUGGAAAUCCUGAUGUUUGAUUGCAGUGUAAAAAUUUGAGUUAAAAAAGAACAAAAAUCUUCAUAGUACUUGUCAGUUGAGGAAGACUGCCCUGAGCUAGUUGUAUCAACUGUUGCCAUGAUGCUGCGGCAGUUCUGGCGUCGUUGAUGAUUGUCUUUGUGGUUGAUGUUCUGUUUGAUUUUCCUGCCUCUGAUGAUUUACAUGCUGUCGACGCGGUUGCUCUGUCAUGUUAACAUUCUGGAUAGAGGAUUGAAUCCUCCAAAUAUUUCUCCAUCCAAUAAAUUCCAUAACCAGAGAGUUGGUACUGAUUGUAAUGCCAAACCCAGUGAAUGAGGAAAGGAGAAUCGAGAGAACUGCAUUUAAAUUGAGCUACAAAAGUGUAAAAAGAUGCAUGUCAAAAUAUAUCUGUUUACUUCCAAAGAGUCCAAAUAUCUUCAUGAAGACAGGGUAGGAACUAUAUCAUCUUACAAUAGUAUAAAAUAAAUGAGCUAAGAGGAUAAGAAUUGCAAACUGGAAGCAGGCAUAAGCCCAAACGAAACUCCUGCUCACUGCAAAACAACAUCAUCACUCGUGUUAAUGAGAAAAUAAUAACUCCGUAUCAUAUGGUCUACAGCAAAGGGAUUAAAGCAACUCCAGAAGGUCUAAUGAGCGCGAAAAUUAGAGUAUCGGUCUCCUAAUAAAUUUUAAUGUCAGCAACAAUAGGACUAUGUCAACUUCUUUUACCAUUUUAUAAAAUCCUAAUCUAGAUAUUGCGGGAGUCAGAAAUUUAUAUCUUUGAACUCAAAGGACUUGACUGUAUUCCCCCAUUUGCAAAAACCCAAAGAAAACUGUUUCUUUGAACUCACCAGAAUUAACUAUAACAAACCCCCCUGCCCAAAGCCAAAUACUUGAAAAUACGUUCUUCCUUGAUAAACCAAUAAUAUUUGGUUGAGAAUGUUAAACUUCUUUGGACAGACCUUAUUACUUUUUCAAUUCUUUUGGUGGUAGGGAAAGCUUACAUAAAGUAUGACAUUUACGAGUCUACUGAGGAAAGACAUACUAAAAAAUAAUUCCUAGCCAAUGGAGGCCAAAACAAUUGUGAUUUAGAUGCUUAUAUGAAUAUACUUUUAGUCCAAUAUUUGUCAAUUAUAAUGCACUGUUACUUUUAGUAGAAUAUUUGUCAAUUUUCAUUGCAUGUAUUCCAUUUUCCUAUUUCAUAAAUGAUUUUUACUGUUGACUUUAACCAUAACUUGCUCACUUAAAAAAAAAGAAACAUAGCAUGCAAUGCCAUGAUAACCUACUAUCUGAUUCUAGCAACACACUAUUAGUAAUUCUUUUCAACACUCUUUCUACUAUUUAUUAAAAUUCACGCAAGUCUUACGGAAUAAUAAAUGGGAUUCGUUAAGUAGGAGAUGAGGCCCACAUCAAUAUCAUCCAAUAGAAGGAAUAUAUUGAAAAAAGUGUUGAGGAUUGUAUUCCUAACAUUCCUCUAACCUUCUUUGAUAUAUUUGACAGUUAUACUUUAGUAAAAUUCAUUUUAUGCUUCAUAAAUAAUAAAAAUAAAAACCAGCAUAAAAAAUGAAAGCAUAAGGGAAAAACUAAGAAAACUUAACAUAAAAUGACUUUGAAAUGCUACACAGAAGAAAACAACUUUACCCAUAGUUGACGCAAUCAUAGAUGAAAGGAGACCUAAAACACAGGCAAAAGGUAAUGAAAUGGCAAGAGCACGAGGGCCCAAAUCUGAAACCUGGUAAACUAGAAACCAUUGGGUCAGGAAUACAUUUCACACGUUAAAAUAUUAACAAAGGAAGACAACACUAGAAUAAAUAAAUGAAGUACAAACAGAAUUAUGUCCAAGUGCUCUCAUACAAAAAGUAUUAUAAGCAUGGACUUCGUAUUGGUAGUAAGUAAUAAAUAGGCAUAGAAACAAUAUCUACAUUUACCCCCCAUAAGACACUCAGGUACAAAAUGAAUUCUAGGCAAUAAUUAAUGAGUAAAUUGAACAAAAUAAUAAAAUGCAAAAAACCCAUUUGUUUAAAUUUGGUCCUGCAAACUACAAGUCACCAUAAACUUCAUUGCAGAUACAAAGAAAAACAUACCAGUAGUUGCUCUAGAAAACAAAAGUAAGAAAGCAUGCUGACCAAGAUAAGUACUGGUACAUCCUGCCAGAUCCUGUCAUGCGUGAAAUAGCCAGAAUCCGUUACAAUCAGAAAAGAAGAAAUUCACUGGUUAUUUGUCAUAGGUUUUUGUAGACCUAACAAGAUGAUAUUUAUGUCAUUUUAGGAUGAGUAUCUUACAUUAACGUGUUAGGUUUUGAUGUAUCUUCUUCUCUUGAGAAAGUACUUUGUUUACCAAAAGCAAAAACAUAAACUAAAAGAUAUAUAUUGUACGUUGUUCAAAUUCAGAAUCAACUGCCUAUGUUUCUUAUACAGCCCAUCAGCCAAGAGAUACGGAGUAGGCUUUUCAGUUUGUUUGAUGGGCCGGAUUGUGCCCCAUAGCUUGGAGCGGAAUCUCUAGAUUAACUUCAAAAGUUUGGCAUGAGCAAAGGAUAAAGUUUUGCUGCAAUGUCUUGUACACUGUUAUCUGUCAUCUUCAUUUAUAUUAGUCCUUUUCCCUUCUACUCGCCUGGCGUCAAGUCUACCUGUGGUGUCUUUGGAUGUUAUAUUUAUGUGCACUCUCAUGAUCCUAAUCUCAUAAAAUUAGACCCUAGAGCUCUUUUAGUGUUUUUAUUAAUUAUUCCCUAAUAAAAAAAGAUACAAAUGUUAUCAUCUAGAGAGCCGCCGUGUUUUUAUCACUUGAAGCAGAGGAGUUUCCCUUCCUAUCAUUACCACAUCUUGCAGGAUGCUCAAAACUAUGACGAGAACACCAAAAGUGGGAUCAAACCAACCCACAGUGAGGAAGAAGACAAAUUCUCAGGCAAAAAAAAAUCAAAGACAACCCACUUUGACUCUAGAGCAAGAAGAGUUUUCUGACUCAGGUUGAUGAAGAUCAUACUUGAUGACCUUAAAAUAAAGGUUGAAAUCCUUGUGCAAUUGGACAAGUCAACCCUAUUGAAAUUGAUAUGGGACUAAGACACCCCAUAGUACCUAAGUUUCUACCAAGUUAUCAAGCAAGGUAGCCUUGAGCGUGAUCCCUAGGGACUAUUGUAUAUCCAUAUUUCACUUGGAUGUGUGAUCUCUAAUACCUAGGUCAAGCGUAUCUAGAGAGGAGUUUCUCGGGGUUAUGUUGCUCUAUAAUACGUAGGUAUAGUGGAUAACUCUUGGGCAAGACUUAAGGACUGAAUGUAGACAUAAUUGACCAGACUCCUUAUUUCUAUGUUUAUGUUUUUGUUAUAUGGGAUGAAAGGUUUUGGACUUACUUUCUACAUCUAUUUUUUGGAAAUUGAAUAUUUUUCCAUCAAAGGUUUAGCACUAAACCUUUUUCAAAAGAACUCAAUUAACCUCCCUCAAGAGUUCUUGAGGUCACUUGGUUAGCAAUGUUUAUUGUAAUCCUCUUCUUUGUAUUAUUUAUUUUCCUUUAAACGAAAAGAGAAUGCCAAACCAUAACAAGAGAUAUCUUCCUGCAACCUAUUUAUAUGUGUGCAAGUAAACUGAAGCUGCAGCCUUUCAGUAUAACAACCCAAAAUAGUUAGAUUUACAACUUUUUAUAGUCUUAUAAUCAGCCCCGCGGCCCUAAUAUCAUAGAUAAACCAAAUAAGAUACUUGGACUUCUAGCCUUGUAUAUUCUAAUAGAUAUCAAAGUCUGGAACACAAGACCUAUAAGAUAAACAUGACAAUAACACUUUAGGUCUCUUCUAUGUCAGUUUAAGUGCUAAUUGAACACACAAAUGACACAAACAGACAUAAUUAAUCAUACCUGUAAUAAGAUACCUCUGCCCGUGGUGGCACAUUUGAUGUCUGCCUAGCUGUAGUGUCACGACUGCAAAUUUUCAACAGUGUUACCGGGAGGUUUUGGACUUCCCGCUUGCAGACAUCACAGGUCCUGUUUCCCUUUAUACUAAACCACUUCACUGCACAUUCCCGGUGAGCAAGUGCAAGAUCACCUCUACAACUGCAUUCCAUCUUAAGUGUAUUCCCUCCUUCCCCAAGCUCCACCAAACAAAUCCUACAAACUGCUUGUUCUUCUGGAAUAUCCUCAGUGUCAUCUUCAAUGGCUGAAAAGGAAAGAACCGAGUGAAAAGACACGACGGAGGACAAGGACAGAUUUAAGCAUAUGGUUAACAAUACCUACAGAAAAAUGAUAAUAGAAACUUGAUCAAAAAAAUUUAAUCAUGGUAAGAAAAAAUCCACUUCCUUAUUAACCUGUUGCUAUUUAAAUAUCAAGUAAUUCUAACUCACAGAAAAACACAAUCUAAUCUAUAAACUAAACCCUAAAAUCAAAAUUAAAAGUUAACAUCAUUAUAAACUUCAUCAGGGUUACUGUUCCUUUCUUUAAUUUGGAGAGUCCACCGCAAUAAAAUGAAAGGACUUUUGGAUUAUAUAUAUCCAGGCAAUCUCCAUUUCCUUUCCUGUAUAUUAAUGUUGCUAAUUUCAUUCAAUUUAUGGUUUAGGGCUCAACUCAAUAUCAAAUACUUGUUGCUUCUGAGAACAUCUGAAAUUUCGCAUAAUGUUGAUCAAGAAGUUUGAAAAAAGUGAUAUUUAUAAGAAAACUUAGUAAAUUCCAUAUAUAUUGCAUGGAAUUACCAAUCUCUGGAACCAAACCACCAUCGCUUGAUUUUCUACGAACAGUUUGCCUUGCUGAAAUUACACGAAUCAAGCCCCUGGAAUCUGUAACCCUUAAACUAGCGGCUUUGCUUUUAACUGGGACUGAAAAUGAUCGAGUAAUAUGCGGAUGACCAUCCAUUUUCUAUACAAGAAAAAGGCAUAUAGUAAGCAACACAUGCUAUUUUUCACUUACAAAAGGUAAAAAAGUAAGUACAGCGUAAAAGUAGUUUGUUUUGGUCUUGAGACAAUAAUGAACAGUGGAAACAUACACUUGAACCAGAAUCACAUACAAGAUGUCUUCCAUCUUCGUUCUCUGAAGCUGAAGUUCCAAAUGGAGUAACUGGCAAUGAGUGUGCACCUUUUAUUGAUGGGGAGAUGACCUUAUUUUUAAGAGACGGAUGAAUGGAAGAUUUAUCCAAAGGAGCAUCUGAUAAGGGAGUUUUAGGAACUAUUAGACCUGCCCUUUCAAAAUCCUGGGAACAAGUAUUUGUCUUGACGCCCUUCUGAGGAAGUAAAGUUCUCAUUGAAGACCUGACUUUGGCUGAAUUUGGCCUUGGAGGAAGUCCUCUACUGGAACCAGGACUUGAUCGUGAAACUGAAGGACCAUCGGUUUUUGCAAAAGUAGAUAAUGCUAUAUCUAGUGACCACGCUGGUAUUUGCAGUGAGGAUAGAUUAGGUCGUCUGGACUGAGGUAUCUUGGGGGCCUUGUCACCCUUUUCAUUUCCAGUACAUCUCUACAAUGCCAAGCCAUCAAACUAAAUUCAGAGCUGGACCUGUUCAUAUUCCUUUUACGAUGACACGGUAUUAUAAUUAAUUAUUACUUUAGUCUAUCCAGUUCAUACUAAAUUGCUAAAACAUUGAUGGUAAUCUAAUGCUAAUCAAUUGGAAAAAAUAUGUAUAUAUAUAUAAACAGAUUAUUGUGCAGUGCAGAACCUAGACUCAUACAUAAAAAAUCAUCUGGAAUGAAAAAUAAAUCGCACAAUUAAAUUAAUAAUCGCAUUACGAUCACUCAGAUCAAACCCAAACCUGGGUUUCUUCUGCGAAAAAAAAAAAAAUAUAUAUAUAUAUAUAUAUAUAUAUAUAUAUAUAUAUAUAUANAUAUAUAUAUAUAUAUAUAUAUAUAUAUAUAUAUAUAUAUAUAUAUAUAUAUAUUUAGAGUAACCUGGGAAGGAUCUGGCACAAAAUCAGCGUCAAAUCGAGGCUGAGCAUCAGCACCGUCACCUCUCUUUUCCAUUCAGAGAAACGCUUUGGCAAAACUGUUACAGUUUCCGCAUCAAAUGCCCAAAUGCCAUAAUGUGUGUUAUAUUUUGAUUUACUUGUGAUUAGCAUUAUAAUAAUGGAAGGAAAAGGAGGUGACAAUGAUGAUACCGAUCGAAACAAGGGUUAGGGUUCCUUUGAUUCAGAUAAUUAAUUAAUUAAUUAAUUAACCAAACUAAAAAGAUUAUUCGCUUUUUUGGAGUUGUUAACUCGCGAUUAUUACCCGCCAACUGCAACUCGUGACAGGCCAACUUUAUGAUCCUUCCACUUCUCCCACGAUUCUCCAUUUUACGUUCUUUUUCUCUUUCCUUCUUCUGCACUUUGCUCACACACUUUUCUUUGAGUCCUCACACGCCUCUUUCAAUUCUUUCCAGUUUUUUUCCAUCUUUUCUCAUCUCACAGAUUCAAUAAAUAUACAUGAAUAAUCAAACGCCACCUAACCUCAUUUUUCUUCCAUGGAAGAACUCAUCUUCCUUUAUUUUUCUCAAGAAAUAAAAUGUGUAUUUGACGUCAAUUUUGUAAAAACAUAUUUAUAGAGUUUAAGGUCUGUAUUAUUUAUUUGUAUAAAAAAAAAUUAUUCUCUAUUAACCCAUAUUAUAUUAUUAUUCUGUAAAAGUUAGUAAUACUUCUUUAUAUAAAUUCUCAUUUAUAUUUUUUGUUUCAAAUAAUAAUAAGUACUAAUUUUAAUAUUUAUUAGGAGAAUGUUUAUUAUAAUUUUAAAAUAUUAAAGUUUAGUUAAAAUAGCUUAUUUUAUUUAUAAACAACUUAUAUAUAUAUAUAUAUAUAUAUAUAUAUAUAUAUAUAUAUAAUAAAUUUAUUGAAAAAAAUUAAUAAUAAUAAUUUAUAAUUAUAAACGUAUUCAACAAUUAGACGCUGUACGUUAAACUAACUCUUGAUUUUAUUACUAAAAUAAAUAUUAACCCAAUAAAAAAUGCCAAAUUAAUUAUAUUUUAAUUUUCAUGAAUUUUUAGUGUUAAAGAUUUGUCUAAAUUCCCCAUCCAAAUAUGGUGCUUUUAAAUAUUAGGAGAACGAUAUGUUUAUUAUAAUUUUAAAAUAUUAAAAUUCACGUAUGUAUUAUAAGGAGGUUUUAUAUCAUAAGUAAUAAAUGUAUGUAAUAAGUUUAUUUUUAUUAACGACGAUUUCUAAUUAAUUAUUAAUUAAAUAUCAAAUUAACCUUCGUAUAAAAACAAAACGUGUUUAGCAUUGCUGUACUUUAAACUAAGACAAUAACUCUUAGUUUUAUUAUUACUUAAAUAAAUAUUAACUCGAUAUAAAGAAAAUUGCCAAAUUGGUUAAAUAUUCAUUUUUGUGAAAUUUUAGUGUUAUGAUUUUGAUAUUAUCACUCCAUCAUAACAUUUUUUAAAUUAAUCAUUAUUAAUUAAGUUGACAAUUUUAUCGUAUAUUACCAAUUUUGUCCGAUUGUCAACUCAAAUAAAUGGAAUUUAAUUGUAUUUUUAUGUGAGACUUGUUAUUUUUUAUGUUAUAAAAUUCAUUUAUAUGAAAGUAGGUUUUGAGGCUGAACUUUGAGUUGAUUUUGGAGAUAAUAACUAUAUACUAUUUAAAUAGUGUGUUUAGGACAAUAAAAUAUUAAUAUUUUGUUUUUAGUAUAAUAAGAAAAAAAAAUACAAGUUAUGUUAAUUUUGCUUAAAUAUCUAUGUUUAUUAAAGAGAAAUAUAAUAUGAUAUAUGAUUAAUUUUGAAGAAAAUUUUGUUUUUUUUUUGUUUUAAAAAUAAAAAGUCUUAGAGGUUCUCAAAUGUUUGUAUAUUAAAGUUAAUUUUCCUUUUCAUAAAUAUGUGUAACAAUUACUAAAUAUGUGUUUAUGUUGUAUAUUGUUGUUGUUUCUAUUUUUUUUAAGCAAAAAAAAUGUGGAACAACUACUUGUUAAAAAUCUACGUAACUUUAAAAAUAUUUAAGCAACUUUCCUAAAACUAUUUAAUUAAGAAGAUACUUGAAUAUUUUUAAGGAGACGUAUUAAAAUAGAGGUAUCAAAACUUUUAGGAAUAUAAACAUGGGAGAUUUAUGACACAAGUAAAACUGAGGUCUCUCAAAUGUUGAACUCAACACAAUUUUAUAAGGAUGAUUAAAAGUUAAAAAUAUUUUUAAAUAAUUACAAGUUUCUUUAUUUCCAAAACCUAAAUUUAUUUGUGAUUUUAUGCUUAUUUUGUUUUGAAUGAUUAUCUAUAUUUAUCUUACUUUUCUUUCAACCAAUCACUUAAUAUAUUUCAUCUAUAAUUAUAUAAUUUUACAGAAUCACAUAAUACCAAUAUCACUAAAUAGGUAAAGAUUUAGAAUACAAAGUCCAAACAUAAUUAGAAUACAAAGUUCAAACGCAAUUUAGUUAAUUAAUUAAAACUAAUUUUGCUUAGAUGACUGGUUUAUUAUAUCAAUUCGAUUUGAUGCAAUGACCAGUGAUAGUUUAAUUUAUAAUGGAGAGAGAAGUUACUAAAAUAAAAAGAAAAAAUAUUUAAUCAGUGAGAAAACUAAAAAUUGAAAAAAAAAAUUAUGAUAUUUUAACAAUUUUUUUAUAAUAAAUUAUGUGUUGUUAUUUUAUUGUUUGGUGAAAAAAGUAAAAAUACAAAAAAAAAUCAUAAUAUUUUAACAAUUUUUUUAAUAAUAAUUAAUCACAAACUAUCACAUAAGUUAUUGUAAAAAAUUAUAAAAGAAAGUCGUUAAAGAUAUCAUUUUUUAAAGAAAGAAGAGAGGAAGGUAAUGGAAAGUUUCAUUUGAAGUUACCAAUAAACUAAUUUUGCUUAGAUGACUGAUUUACUAUAUGAAUUCAAUUUGAUGCAAUUAAUGAAUACUGAUAGUUUGGUUGAUAAUGAAGAGAAGUUAGUAAAAUAAAAAGAAAAAAAUAUUUAAUUGGUGAGAAAGGUAAAAAUGUGAGAAAAAAAUGACUACGAUAUUAUAAUAAUUUUUUUUAUAACAUAUUAUGUGACUAUUUUAUUAGUUUAUAUAUUUAAAACGGAUGAAUCAGAUACUAUCGUGUAAAUAAUUAUCGUAUAAGUAAUUAUAAACACAAAUUAUCAUAUAAACAAUUAUAAAAAUAUUGUAAAAAAAAUUGUUAAAGAUAAUUUUUUUUUAAAAAAAAAAAAAAAGAGAGGAAGGUAGUGGGGAGUUUCAUUUGAAGUCACUAAUAAACUGAAUUGAAUUCAAUGGAAGAGUCCAAGUCAUCCACAACACUCAAAUCAUUCACUCACUCAAUAUUCACAUUUCAACCCAAUGAAGCUGCUGCUUCCUCGAUGCAUCCUCACAAUCAUGCAUUGCAUUUGCAUCUCUCACUCCACCACACAUGACUCACGACACACACAACCUCAAAUUAACUUCUUACUUUUUCUCAUUAACCAAAACAUCAUCGUAAUAUUAUUCAUUUAAUACUACUCCAACCAUGCAAUAUUUUUCUUAAUUAAUUAAUUAAUACAAUAAUAAUCAAGUUGGUCCUUGUGGGAGAGAUGAACACGUGGCCCAUGGAUGAAGGGCGAGGAUGUUUCGUUGAGUUGGUAAGUAUGAGGAUGACUAAUAAGGACACCAUAAAUAGCCCACCAUUGCAAACUUUUCUUCCUUCCUCACCAAACCAAACCAAACCAAACAAAACAAAAACAAAACCAAAUUGUGUUUCCCUCCUUCCAUAACUCAUGUUAACAUGUCCGCUCCUAUUCCUAACGAUCACUGGCUCCAUUUCUAUCAACAAACCCAAUUCUCCGGCGGCGGUCAAGAGCUGCUCCCCUCUUCUGUUUCCGAGGCUACAACCGUCACAACCACCACCGUGGCGCCGGCCCAGUUGAGCCCAGAGGGCGGAGUGUCGAAGCCCGUCAGGCGGCGUUACCGGGCCUCGAGGCGAACUCCCACGACUCUUCUUAACACGGACACCACCAACUUCCGGGCGAUGGUGCAACAGUUCACCGGCGCUCCUUCUGCGCCUGAUCUGUUUGGGCCGACACGUCCACUCCCCGUCAACCCUAAUGGGCUGAUGUUGGCCCCUUCUCACUCUCUUCAGCAGCAGCAACAGCAGCUUUAUCAGCAGCAGUUCUACCCAACAGCGUACACAGAAGGAGCAGAGAACGGUUUGUUUGAGAGAGUGAGCAACGCAACGGGAUCAACAGCGACAAAUGAUGGAGGUGGGGUUUUGAUGGAGCACGCAAGGCUUUUCUUGCCAACUUCCUCUUCUUGAUUCUUCCCACUCAGACUGAGAGCGACAUAUAUGCAAAGCAGAACAGAACUUGGAUAAUUAGGUGCUAACUUGUUGACAAAACCUCCUAUCUGCGUCAAUGUGAAAUGGAAUUUUACGUUUCUUUCUCUGCUGUAGGCACCACAAAUCCAUCUAUCUUUUUUUUUUCUUUUUUUAUUUUAUUAUUUCGAUGAUGAAGAUGAUCGUGCUGUGCUUCUAUAUCUCCUUCUGGGUGUUGCCCCAGGCUUUUAUUUUUAUUUUUUGUUUAAAUCUCUGUAUUUGGUUUUUUCUUUUUUUAUGUAUUUUUAGUUAUUUGGGAGCCUUCUCUUUGGGGGAGUCGUAGUUCCAGAAUAUUUAAUUUAGUUGUUUUGGAUAUGGUCAUUUGGUCACAGCCUGCCAACCAAUACUCUUUUACGUAUGUUGACUUGCUUCCUAUUAUGCCUCUCUCUCUCUCUCUCUCUCUCUCUCUCUCUCUAUGUCUCUCUCUAACACAACCUUAUUCAUGCACUCAAUUUUGUAUUAAUUCAUGUCAAUUCAUAUUUUUUUUUUUAUCAAACUACUUAUCUUGCAACAAUAAUUAUUGGACACUAAGCAACCUAUAUUAAACGCACGAGGGAGGGAUAAAAGAGAUUAAUUUAUACAAGAGGCGAUGAUAUGAUAGAGAUAAAUCAUUGAUGUUGAGUGAGGUGCGUGAAAUGGAGUUUCAACUAUUAAACCUCUGUUUACUAAAUACUUUUUUACAUUCUCUUUUUCGUAAAGCUAACACAAAAUUAUAUCACAUAUAUGCAUAGCAUUCUUUGUCUCCAUAGGCUUUGAUAACGUAAAAUGUGAAAACAACCUUCUUAUUACUCAAAAAAAAUUACAUUAUCAUCUGUGCUUGCACUGUUAACACUUUACUCAUCAUAAAACAAAUCCUAAAUUACUCUGCUUGUACUGUAAAUGUCAACUUUAUGGUUGGAAUUUCAAUAUUUCUAUAGCGAAUUUUAAGUUCAGAUCACUUCAAUUCAAUAUCCAUGGAAGAAUAUUGGACGAGAAGGAUUAAUAAUCCCUUGAAUAGGACCUGUGAGCCUACAAGCCUUAACGAGUUCACUAGUUUGAUCCGGGUAGGUUAGUAUCUUAAUUCAUCCGACUACAAAUAUCCACAUUAUUCUAUAUAUUCAACAAAAAUAUACCCCUGUUUGUUUUAGCACUACGACAAUAAUUUUGAUAUGUUUUGAAAAAGCAUGUUAACGAAUAAGAAUAAGGACAAUGAUACUUUGACAACUCUUUUUUAACAACUUUUUGACAACAGGAUACGUGUCAUCAUUUUAUUGGUAUGUUUGAAUUUAUCUUUAAAAAAAUAUUUGAAACGGACCAAUCAUAGACUGCCACGUAUGCGUUGUCAAAAAGUUGUCAAAAAAGAGUUGUUAAAGAGACUUUUUCCUAAGAAUAAUUUAAACACUAUCAAUUACGUUUAAAUUCAUGCAAUGUAUUUUGCUAUAGGAAGCCAUUUAAUUUUUAUAGCAUACUCUUCAUCUUUUGUGGAAGCUAUUGCAUUUUAUGCCAAGCCUACAAAGUUUACUCCCUUAAAUUGUUAAUAUUGUACAGUAAGCCGAAUUACUACCAACACUUUCUAAAGUAAACGGGCAGCAUCUUGAUAAUACAUAAUUGUUAAUAUUGUACAGUAGUCUGUCUCUCAAGUCAUAAUUAAGGAAGAAAGCGACUCACAAGUUAAUCAAAAUGUACAAUCCAAAAUUACGUGAAUAAAAAGGUCAUUGUAUUUUUCCCAUCUAAAAUAAGCAUAUGCACAAACAACACUUUCACGUAUACCAGCAUUCAACACGCAAAAUUUUUUACCACACCAGCUAAAUGAAAGUUCCCUUGUGCAACUCCAAAUCCCCUAUCCAUGAUAUAAUGCAUAUGAUGUUAUAGAUACUGCAUGGACAGUUGCUAUUGACAUUCUGCCGAGAACCAAACAAUCCAUCGAAGUAUACCUACUUUUUGUUCUCAUCUUUUCCAUUAUUUUGAGGAUUAAGCUCAUCAUCAUUAUAGUAUUCUUCAAAAAAUUCUUCAUCACUGUCAUCCUCCUCAUCAUAAUAAUACUCCUCUUCGUCAUCAUCCUUAUCGACCUUGCCAUUUUCAAGACGAAGUGUGCCAUCACUUGACAGCUGACGUCUUAACCUCUCCUGAAUACGAUCCCUAAUUGCUGUUCCCUGUUUUGUAGAACCAAGUGAUAAGAAAAGACGCGAUGAAGUAAACAAGAAAUUUACGUACACCACAAGGAAGAAUUACAUAGCUUUUUCACAUAAAUUAGCUCACCAUCUUGUGGCAACCUUCUUCAAACAUUUCCAGAAACCCAGCAACCCAACGGUCAGCAUUUUCCACCCACUCAUUCCUAUGCAUACCAGCAGUCUUUGCAACAAUUUGGAUCUGGAUAAACCACACAAAUAUAUACAUCUUUACCGUAAUUAAGAAAAAACAGAUGAUUUUUAACGUAGGAUACUAUUACAUGUUGAAAGGGGAAUACUUGUGUCCGCAGGACAAGUAUUGCCUUACUCUAGAAAAAACAUAGGCUUUCACAUUCUACUUUCUUAAGAAAUAUUACUAUGACCGAAUCCGACAUAAUUUUCCAAAUCACCCAGAUAUACAUUCAGCAAAAUCAACAAUUUGAAAAGGCUGCUUCCUAAUACUGAUUUUAGAAACUAUUGUUAGACAUCUUGUAGCCUUGACAUUUAAGGUGUUAAUGAUAUUGUUCCUUUUGAAAAAAAAAAACAAAAAAACUAUAUAUAGAGACAGACACAGAGAGAAAGAGAGAGAGAUGAAAAAAAUAUUAAAAUAGUAUCAAUUCUCUAUUUUCUUAUACAAGACAACUACGAUAAAGCCAGUCCAUAGUUUUUCACUCUAGUCUUUUCAGUGAGGACAAGAAUCUUAAUCUUGUCCAAAUAUUAACAUGAGCUUAGUAAAGUCAUGGAGAAAAGGUGAAACAAGAAACAUCUAGAAUUAGAAGUAUAGCUUAAAAUAGAGAAUUACGCCAAAUCAAUCAAGAAACUGACUGAUAUUAGUUUCAUGGCAAUGAAUCAUACAACCACUGAUUACCAGUGAAAGUGUCAAACGGUGGUCUAGGAUACCCGUUAGUGAAGGUUUGAUAAAAAAAUUUAGGAAUUGAGAGCAACCAGUUAAAGCUAUAUUUAGAAAAUAAUAUAAAUAUGUAAACUUAGCAUGUGCUCAAAGGCUUGCCAUCCCUGCCCUAGGGCCUCUUCUCUCAUUACAACAGUAAUCAAACAUCAACAAAAACCAGAAAGUGAUGAAACCACGAUAUCUAAUAACGUACAGAAAAUAUGGAAACAAAGACAUAUGAGGAAAAGUAUCACAACAUGAGGACUGCUAUAUUUGGAAAGGUAUAUUCAAUUAAUUUGGUUAUGCCAGGAGUCCAUGUUUCUGAAUUAAUCAUACUGCAUGACUCCUAAGAAGAAUAACGCAACAUAACCACAUGUAAAUUCAGAUAGGGUCACUAAAUUUUUUUGUUGAUUUUACUCCUUAAUCAUGUUUUUGUCUUUGACAAAGCACCCAAAAUACUCAAAUACAAUACGUCAUCAAAACUGUGAAAAUGAACCAUUGAGUCCAAAAACCUGUGGUAGAUGUCCAGCUUCCCAUACCAGUUUGAAUCACAACCGAGAAUAACUAUGAAUUUUUCAAAUAACUUUACUUGACGUUCUCAGCUUCUACUCCAAUGAUGAUUACAUUACAAUAUACAUGCAUUUUCAUCCUAACACUUUCACCCCAUAUAAUUCAAAUAAUUUUUCCCAACACAAGUAUUAAUUUAAUUUGAUUAACCAAAUGAUAUCUAAUAGCAAUACAUACCUUUUCACCAACUUUUUCUUGAUGUUCUUUCACUUUCUCUUGCAAUGUUUUCAACCUUCUAUUCACCCUCAGUCGCUUUUCCUAUUUAAGAUAAAGCAAUGAAAACCACAAGAGACAAGAGUAUUCACCAAAGGAACAGAAAGAGUAACAUCAGUAUAGGACAAAACAUCGCUGAAAGAGGUAUCCUGUUAAAUUUUUAAGUAGAAUAAAUCAAAGAGAUUUAUGCCAAAUCAUGCCUUCACAUAGCUCACGCCAAGCUCAUUUCUUGAGUAGCCACGAUCCAAGUUCCGCAACACAUAUUGGUUAUAAUCUUUGACAAUCCUCAUUAUAACAUCUGACGUGGAUAUUCCUUCAGUCCGUUUUGUUUCCUUAAACCUCCCAACAGAUUUAACCUACACACAAAAUUCACGGCUUAUAGUACAAGCGAAAAGGGAAAGUGACUGGGAAAUAAUAAUUAAAAAAAAAAAACAUUUUGUCAUACAUACAAAUUCAUAAACAUCAUUGGCAGCACCACUGGCAUCAGCAUAACUGUGGACAAUGGGUUGAGAAAUGCAAAAAGGAUGAUCACAUUAUGCAUAUAUGCAAUGAAAUAAAUGGAUCCAAGUUACCAGAUUCACAGGUUAAUGCUGAAAUACUAUUCUUACGGAAGAGAGUCAUGAGCCACAUAGUCAAUGUUGUGCUUGUCAAGAAACUCUUGAUUAAUAACCCAAGGGGCAUCAGGAAUAACUUCGUCCACCCAUCUGCUCUCGAAAUGAAACCAAAUCGAAAUUGAAAUUGCGAUUGAAAUUGAAAGAGCAGAAGCAACAAGGUUCUGUUAACAAAAUAUCAUACUUGCAGUGACGCAGGGAUUCGUAUCGUUCGGCCUCUGUCAUAACAGUUUUGCCUUUGUAUUUGUGGGUGACCUCAUCGUUGCAACAACCAACCAAUAAGUAUGUAUUCGGAAACCUAAAAUUCGAGAGUAAGCAAAAAGUGUUUGUGAAGGGAACCGUGGCGAAACUCUUCCUUCUUUCUUUUUUUACCAGUCUUCAAUUAAUUAGUUGAUUAUUAAUCAUUAAUGGAUUGACAUAAAAUGCAUAAUUGUAAAUGAUUAAUCAGAUCUCGGAGGGAAGGAACGAAAGAGGGUGAUUAAGAUUGAAGGAAGCAGCAAAUGCAAAGGAAUGAAUAGGAGGAAAUGAUGCAUACGAUUUCUUGGCUUGCUCGAGGGAGCGAGCGUGGCCAAAGUGGAAGAGAUCGUAGAUGCCGUCGGCGUAGACUCGAACGGGACGGUCCUCCGGAGGCGACGUCGUUUUGGAAUUCGACUGUUCGCUGUGAUCUGCCAUUCGCCUCUUCUCCUCUGCUCCGCCCCUCUUUUCCUUCGUAAUUUCGCAAACGCCGUAUGCGCUUUUGCUUUCUUCGCUAUUUUUCCCCGAAAUUCUUUUUAUUUUUUCCUUUUUCUUUUAUUAAAGUGUUAUUCUUUCCUAAUCACGACGACUAAAUCGUUGUUUUAUAAACAUUAAUCACUCACCACUUCUUUCCCUCUCCAAUUUUUCUUUUUAAACAUUUAAUAGCGGAAAAUAAAUAAUAUAUAAUAACUUUUAUAUAUAUAUAUAUAUAUAUAUAUAUAUAUAUAUAUAUGAAAAAAAUUAGUGAGUUAACGUCCUUCUUAAAUACAGAAAGUUCUAUUAUUAAAUGUAGAUUAUGACAGUAAUAAUUUUUUUGUUAUCGAAAUUUUACUUAAAGACAUUUAUAGUUUUAUAUUAAUCAUAAUAUCAAUUUAUAUUAACUAUACAAUUUCAUAUUUUCUAAUACACUAAGACAGAUAAAUAAUAUAAAUGAACAAGACGCCGAUUAAAUUAAAUUGUUUUUAAUUUCAGCUUUUAAACAAUUUAAGAUUAUGAAUAUGUUAGAAUAAGUUUCAAGUCGAGAAUAAUGCUUUGAUUCUAAGUCUUUUGAGUAAUAUUAAUAGGAUCUAUCAUCAUAACUUGUGUAUUAUCUGCUUUAAAACUUUAAGCUUCAUUACGAUUAAUUCGAAAAAAAUUAUUUAAAUUAUCAUUCAUAAACUCUUAAGCGAUGUAAAGACAAUUAGGUGUGUAUCAGAAAAUUUUUCUAAGAAUUCUAUUUCAUUCUCGCUUUCUUUUAUUAUUUCAAAUAUAUAAUUUUUAAAAGUUUAAUUUUGAUAUUUUUUAUCAAAUAACUUUUUUUUAAAAAAAAAACUUCAAUAUCAUAAAAUAACAUUGUUGGAUUAAAAUAUAAAAAAUCAAUUAAUAUAUAAUAAGAGAAACAAAAAUAUGAAUCGUGAAAAUAUUAAUAAACUACCAUUAUAAUAAAUAUAUUUCCAUACAACUUUAUAUUAUAAAUUAUAAAAUACCCAGCAUAAAACCUUCACUUUCUUUGUCAUAUCAUUUCCACGCUCUCCUACCAUUUCUGUAUUUGUAUACUUAGUGAAUUUUCAUAAUCGUUUUUAAUAUAUUUUUUUAUCAUUAUUUUAAAUCUUAAUAUUUCUUUUAAAAAUUUCGAUGAUUAAACACAACCUUGUAAUACUGUAAAUCUUUAUGAUAUAAACCCAAAAUAUAUGUUAGAAAAUGUAAUAUCCCAUUAAUAGAUAAAUCCACUCAAUAAAAUAUUAUAAUAGUGAUAAAACAUAGUAGUAAAACAUAAAAUAUGUAAUUUCAUCAUUACAGUUAUCCGGGAAAUAAGCAUAGUAAUAAAAACAUAUUUACAACUUUUACAUUACAAAGUAUCUUAAAAAGAGUUAAACUGUUAUAUAAUAUUUGAAUAUCUAGACACCCAUAGGAUUAAGUAUGUUUUUAGUUCCUAAACUAUCAUUCGAUUUUGAUUUUAGUCCCUACUCGAAACAUCAACGAUUUUUAGUCCUCCUUGCUUUGAAAGUCUCACUUGUAGUCCUUAAAAUUGGACAAUGUUAAAUUUUUUGUGAUGUAGCAAACGGCGAUGGUUUGUCCACUACCAGCUUCCCUCUUCACUGGCUGCCACGUAGGCUUUGAAUUAAAAAAUUAAAUUAAAAAAGUGAAAAUUCAAUUAUAGAAAGGGUAAAACUGGAAAUUCUUAUUAUCAGAAAGCCCUAUUCUCUCACCCCGCCGCCUCCACCUCACCCCCUUGACCACGACGCUCAACCCAAGCAGGGAUAUAAGACCGGAUUUGUGGUAUAAGUACUUACGGAAGAAACAAAACAGAGGCAAAACGCAGCAGGAAUGAUAAGGAAAGAUUAUGAUGAACGUAGCGAAAGAAGUGAAAGCUUAGAGGAAGGGGAUUAGGGAUUAGAGAAUUAGAAAAGAAGGUGUGGGAAAAGAUUUUUUAUAUUAAAGACAACUACGAAAAGUUAUUCUAAAAUAAAAAUAUAUAUCAGGGACGAUUGUGUUAUAGUAGCCGUCAGAAAUUUUUUUAAGAAAAAAAAAAAAGAUACAUGCGGUUUUAAGCAAGAACCGUCAGAAUGUACUGAGGUUUUCCAAAACCCUCCAAAAAAAACCCUUUUAAAAUUAAUAAUUUUUGUAGUGGUUGUAGUUUUUUUUUCCUAUUUAGUCUCAUAAUUUUUAGUUAAAUUUUUUAAAAUUUAAAUUUUAAAAAAUAUAAGUAUCAAAAUUAAAAUUAAAAUAACUCUUAUUAAUAUUUUUUACAUAUUCCAUAUAUUUUGAAAAAUAUAUAUCAAUAAUGUAUCAUAAUAUUGUCUAUUCAUAUCUAAGAUAAUUUAUACUUUAACAAUAUGCCUUUUUUUAUGAAAAGAAAUAAUAUAUCAGUAAUGUUUUAACACUCUUUCUUUUCUUUUAUAUUAAGUUUAAAAAAAGAAAAUAAAAGAAAUAUGAAAAGUAUGAAAAGAUGGAAAAUGGAAAUAAUAUUUAAUUGCAGUUUGUUAGUAAAAUGAUGAAGAUGAAGUUUUGAUGAUGCCCAAAUCAAGUCAAGAUAUAUCAAGAUUCAUGAAGAUCCUUUGAAGACUUAUUUUUGUUAUUAAAAGCUUUUGUAAUAAUUGUAGUUUUAUUGUUUAGGUCUUAGAUUUUCAUUGGUUUUGAUUCCAUGUACUUUCAUACAUUGUAAUUUGUGUUAAGAGUCAAAAUCACAUUGUUUUAAUCGAUUAAAACUAGUAUUAAUCGAUUAAAACGAGUAAAAGCUGAAAACUCAACUGAUAUAGAAAUAAUCGAUUAAUACUUAAUUUAAUCGAUUAGUUAAUCGAUUAAAAUCAGGAAUAAUCGAUUAAUACUAGCCGUUGGAGGUUUCAGAUUUGAAAAACUAGUCGUUGCACUUAAUUUAAUCGAUUAACAGUAAUAUUAAUCGAUUAAAAGCGUUAAAUGGCCAGUUUCGAAGAAUGAAAGAGUUUUUGCUUGAGUCUAUUUAUAGGCUCUCUUUAUCCAUCAACAACAAUUCUUCCCUUGUGCUUAAGAACUCAGAAACUCUUGAGAAGUGUGUGUUCUUGUUCGACUUGUGAAACUCUUAUCUGUGGAGUUGGUGAAGUGCUGCUACGGUGACAGAGGAAAUAGCCGGUUCAUCCUUGGUGCGUCUGAGGAGUUGUUUGGAAGAGGAUCAUCCUUCGUGAAGUAUUCGGAGGAGAUGUCUCAUCCUUUGUGAAGAUUCAAAGGAGGUGCAAGUUCAUCUCUUGUGGUAUCAAGAGAGGUGGUUUCUAAACUUUUACAAAUUGUUUCUUUGUGAUUGUAAUUUGUAAUUGUUUUGUGCUUAGUGAACUGUUUAUCUUGAUUUCAGAUAAGUGACUGGACGUAGGAUUGGUAAGAUCCGAACCAGUAUAAAAAUCAUAUGUGCAAAUUUCUCUGAACCUUACUCUUUUAUUUAUAUUUAUUAUUUGCGUAGUAAGUUUAAUUGAGUAAAAAUUAAAAGGCACGCAUUUAUAUUAAAAUCCCUCUUGGUUUGUUAUUCACACUAACAAUUCCGCUGCAGCCUAUUCUAACAUGAAAAGUUUAAAAGAUGGAAAAUGGAAAUAAUAUUUAAUUGCAGUUAAUUUAUUAAUGAUUAGAAAAGAGGAGAUGAAAAGUUGAUGCUAUAGAAGACCAUAGUUUUAGGGGUCAUGGGGGCUUAACCCAACCAUACUGUAGUGCCAACCCAUUUAAUGGGGCUAGCGAAGCUAAAGGCUUUGAAAAGGCCCCCUAUAGUGUGGGCCAAAAAAAUGGGGGCUAGUUCUAUGAAAGGCCAAGGCUGGCCUUGGGGCUCUUGGGAAAAUUGACAGCUCUAAACACACAUAUACACUCAUGCACGUGCAUGCACACAUAAACACAUGAACACACACAUACACACAUAUGCGUAUGCAUGCACACAUACACACAUACAUAUGCACAUGCGUGCACACAUGCAUACAUACUCACAUUCACACAUGCAUACAUGUACACAUACAUACACGCAUACAUAUGCACAUGCACAUUUGCACACAUGCAUACAUGCAUAUGCACAUGCACGCACACAUGCAUACAUGCUCACACGCAUCCAUGCAUACAUACAUAUGCACAUGCAUACACAUGCAGGCACACAUGCAUACAUUUUCUCAACUAUUUUUCGUUGUCAGUUUCCUAAUGGGUUAUACUGAUUUUGUUUUUAAUUUUACGCGGUGAAAACUAUUUAACGUCGAUGAAUUUAAGAUUAGCAUCGAUUAUAGAUUUAGCUACUUAGAAAAACAUCCAUAGUUAUGGCAUUAUUCUUUUCGCUGACGACACCUGUGGAGAUUGCAAUUGGUAUGAUAAUUAGUGGCAGUUACAAGAAGGAAAGUCUCUCAUUGUAGAAGGUAUUCUUAAUGCAACAUCAGCAGGUAUCUUAAUUUACAUGUCACUAGUGGACCUUCUUGCGCCCGAUUUAAUGAAUCCGAAGAUCUAAGCAAGUAGCAAGCUUCAGAGUGGAGUUAACACAUCUUUGCUUAUUGGGGCUGGGUGCAUGUCACUUCUUGCAAAAUGGGCCUAGGACCACUCUCGUAUAUAUAUACACCUUUCUUUCUACUUGUAUUUUUGUACCGUCUCGCAUUCAUCUCUUCUUGUAAUAGUUCAUAUUUUACAACACUGUUAUUCUUAUGUCAAUAUUUUGUUGCCAAAUACAAUAAUUUGUUUUAAGUGUUUCUUAACUUUUUGGAUUUCUUUUUUUGAUAAACUCCUAAAUUUAAGUUGAUCAUUUUUAAGUAUAUAAAUAAGUAAAUAUUCAAAAUAGUUAUCCGUGUCUAGGGAUGACAAUGGGUCGAGUCAGGCACGAAUAAUGCUUACCUGCAACCCGACCUGACAAAAAAAAUCAACCCGCUACGCGUACAAAUAUCCGCUUAAAAAAUGUCCUCGGGUAUUUUAAAACUCGCGGAUACCCGUGGAUACCCACAAAUAUUUAAAAAAAAUAUUUUUUAUAAAUUAUUAAAAUAAAAUUACAAAAGAAAUAUAAAAUUUAAUAUAAAUUAAAUAAAAUAUAAAUUAAAAUUUUAUUUUAAUUAAAUUUAACCUUAUAAAAUAUAAAUUAAUGUUAAUUUUAAUUAAAUUUAACUUAAUAAAUUAUAAUUAAAUUUUUAUUUUUAUUUUUUGCGGGUAGCGGAUAUCCGCGGAUACGUAUAAUAUAAUACACGCACUCGACCCGUUUAUAAGCGAAUAUUUUAAAAAACCCACUACCCACAACCUGUGGGUAGUAAAUAUCUACAGGCGCGAAUUUUUUUGUCAUCCCUAUCUGUGUCUCAUCUUCGUCAAUCAUAUCUAGAGAACCAGGUCGGCAGACUUUUGUUUGCAAUAGUAAUUAGGAGUCUAAGUUCCACAUUAGAUAGAUAGAGAUGAGAAAGUAGAGUAGGAUAUAAAAGUGAAAGAAUCAUUAACACAUAUUCUUAAGGUUUUGGGUAAAGAGUGAUGUCAAUCCCUUAUGUGUCAGAUCUCAUUGGUGACAUCAGAUCUGUUGUUUAAUAACUUAAUUAACACGUAAUAUAAAAUUAAAUAAUCAUAUAUACAUGCUCACACACAUCAACAUGAGGCUUUCCAGUGUGUUUUGUCCUCACUCACACACUUUCCAAACACUUUCCAAGAAAAGUUCCCGGAAGGUCACCCAUCCCAUAAUUACUCUAGGCUAAGCACGCUUAACCAUGGAGUUCAAAUGAGUUAGGCUAUCGAAAAACAAAUGCAUUUGUUGAUAUGAGUAGCCAAAUCAAUUCCUUUAAACUAUCCUUCAACCGUAUUGUCCCAUACCUAUACAAUCUCUAGAUCCCUCUCAUUCCGGUGUAUGUUCGAUUCGUUCAUGUGCCCCUUCCACUCGAAGCCUGCCAGGAGCUGCUCUUUGUCCGUGUCCCCUGCACCAUGCUUCUUCCACCGACGAUCACUCUCUGCCUUCGUCAGUGUCCAGGUGUCACAUACACAUAUGCACAUGCAUACACACAUGUACACAUACAAACAUGCAAACAUACACACAUGCACACAUACACAGAUACAUACAUGCAUAUCUGUAUAUACAUACAUGCAUACAUGAACACAUAUACACAUGCACGCAUACACGCAUACAUAUAUGCAUACAAAGUUUAAUUUCGAUUUUUUUUUAUCUUGAUACUUUUUCAAAUUAAACAUUUUUUUUUGGCUAAAACUUGAGUGUACACAUAUACAUGUAUACAUGCAUAAAACUUUCACUUUCUUUAUCAUAUAUCAUUUCCACGCUCUCCUACCUUUUUUUAUUUGUAUACUUAAUUAAUUUUCAUAAUCGUUUUUAAUAUACUUUUUUAUCAUCGAUAUUUGUAAGUGUGUUUGUAAUAAAUAAUUCGUUGUAAUUAUUGAUAUUUUUCUCUCAAAGAUGAUUAAAAUUUAAUAUAAAAGUAUAAAUUGAAAUAGACCCAAAAAUUAAGAAAAAAAAACUAUUUUGUUCUUUUGACUGUUGAGGUAUAACUGAUACAAUGUUAUAACAACAAUAUUUCACAAAAUUAACAGUAUUAUAUUAAAAUAAAAUAAAAUAUGAAUCUAUAUUUUUUUUAAUGUAAUUUCAAUUUCCUUUUCUACAACAUGCUUUAUGUCAUGGGAGUGUGGACAUGGAAAUUGACCUUGAGAGAGACUAAUUAAAAGUCUCCCAUGAAUUUAAAUUAAAAAAGAAAGUGCACUAAGUUUAAGUAUAUAAAACAUAAUUGAAAUAAUUCUUCAUUUAGUCAUUUCAUUCGUAGCCAUCCAGUAUUUUUGUAUAGAUAGGGUUUCCUUUUUCCUUCCAAGAAAUUUCUGCUUAAACCCUUCUCUCUCUUUAUUCCGUCCACAGAAAUGAGCAAAACUCACCCACAUUGUCGACGUGACAUCACGUGGAUUUUACUCUUUCUGCUUCUUGCUCUUCUUCUUCCGUGUGUGGUUGAUGGUGACGGCGAUGGCGAUCAGUGUAAAUGCAAAAGCGAUAAAGAAGAAGGUGGAGAAAAGAUUGACAAGAAUUUGGCCAAGAAGUACAAAAUCGGAGCUCUUGUUUCGAUUCUGGUUGCAAGUGCAGUUGGCGUCAGCCUUCCAAUGCUCAGCAGAAUUUUACCCGCCUUGCAUCCGGAGAAGGACUUCUUCUUCAUGGUGAAGGCCUUCGCGGCUGGGGUCAUAUUAUCAACCGGUUUCAUUCAUGUUUUGCCAGAUGCUUUUGAAAAGCUGACACCUCCCAGUCUCUGUAAUCAUCCCUGGGACGAUUUUCCGUUCGCCGGAUUUGUGGCAAUGGUGGCAGCCAUCGGAACGCUUAUGGUUGAUUCUCUUGCGACUGCGUAUUUUAAAAAGUCCUCGCUAAGCGCCAUGGACCGAGUUGCUGACGAAGAAGAUCUGCAUGAACAUAAUCGCCAUGCAACUCAUCAUUCUCAUUCUCAUUCUCACGCUUCCAUGUCUUCUCCUUCCACGAACCUACUUCGCCAUCGCGUUAUUUCUCAGGUAAUUAUUAAUAAUUCUCAGUAUAACAAUAAUUCAAUAUGUUUUGUCCUCACAUCAUUAUCAAAAUACAAGUGGGUUCUCCUACUAUCUGCCACCCUAGUUUUACUUCAAUUCCUUAUCUCUCCUUAAUUAUUAUUCUUGGCAUGUCCAAUCACUGUUCGAAAGUUUUUUUUUUUUUUACCUUUUUUUAAUCAAAUCAAAUAAAAUAUAUAAUAUUUCUUUACAUUUUUCUUAUUAGUGAAAUUAUUUUUGAUAAUUUUCGUAACGAGAUAAGAACAAGACGUUGGCUAAUGAAGUUGUCAUGUGGAAAGAAAUAUAAAAUAACAUUAACAUAUAAAAAAAUGAUCGUAGUUUUAUAUCACGUUACUGAGAAUCUUUGGCUGUUUUUUUUCUGUGUAUUAUAAUUUAGGUUUUGAUGUUUAAAUAUUGCAGGUGCUGGAGCUGGGGAUUGUGGUGCAUUCUGUGAUAAUAGGGAUAUCUCUGGGUGCAUCUGAAGAUCCUAAAACGAUAAGACCUCUUAUUGCUGCUUUAACUUUUCACCAAUUUUUUGAAGGCAUGGGGCUUGGUGGUUCCAUCUCACAGGUAUUGCAAUUUUCUUUAUUCUUUUGCUCACUGAUUUGUAAUAUUAAUCCAUCGUAAUGUUUUUGGGAACUGAAUUCUUUAUAUGUCUUAAUCAUGCAUAUUCCAAAUUAAUAUAAGCACAAGCACAUAAAAUGAAUAUAUAUAUAUAUAUAUAUAUAUAUAUAUAUAUUCUUCUUUUAAAAAUGUCCUAAUAAUAAUAGGUUUUUGUACUUAAAAUAAUAUUAUUUCGAAUAUUUCAAAACUUCCGAUGAAAAGUCAAUGUUCUUGGACGAGUAACUCCGUCUGAACCAUGCAUGUUUUUCUCAAGUUUUUUUCGUUGUCAGUUUCCCAAUGGGUUAUAUUAAUUUUGUUUUUAAUUUUACGCUGUGAAAACUAUUUAACAGGAUGAAUUUAAUAAGAUUACAAUCUUAUAUAGAUUUAACUGCUUAGAAAAACAUCCAUAGUUAGUAAUUUUUCAAAACCAAUACUGAAACAAUGUCUGUACUAAGCAAUCAAUUAAUUAAUAUCUUUCAUUUUCAAUGCUUUAUAUCUGCGUAGACAUGUGAUGGUAUUGGAUGCAAAUCGCUUGGCUUGAAUAAAAACGUACCAGACACCAUAAAUAGUUGACUUGUGGUGUGGCUUAGCCAGCGUAUAGAUAUGGUGACACCACUGCUUAAAGAUUCUAGUGAAUCCGAACAUUCAAAGCAACAUGACUAUGGUUGUUAUUGGAGUCAUCCAAGGAAGUAUGUCGGCAGAUUUAUAUUUACAAUAGUGUCUUAGUUUAUUAUUGAAGACCAAUUUAUAAUAUAUAUAAAUAGGUACAAAUUUAUUUACACGUAUGUUUUAUGUUUUUGUUUUAUAGAGUUAAAUCAUGGUUAAAAUUCAUUUUUCAACACAUCAAUAUGAAAUUUGAUAUUAGAUUUGUUAUGUAAUAACUUAAGUAACCGUGUUUGUGUUUAGGCAAAUUUUAAGAGAGGAGCAAUUAUAGUUAUGGCGUUAUUCUUUUCGUUGACAACACCUGUGGGGAUUGCAAUUGGUAUGAUAAUCAGUGGCAAUUACAAGGAGGAGAGUCCAACGGCUCUGAUCGUAGAAGGUAUUCUUAACGCAGCAUCAGCAGGUAUCUUAAUUUACAUGUCAUUGGUGGACCUUCUUGCGCCUGAUUUAAUGAAUCCAAAGAUCCAAGCAAGUAGCAAGCUUCAUAUUGGAGUUAACACAUCUUUGCUUAUUGGGGCUGGGUGCAUGUCACUUCUUGCAAAAUGGGCCUAGGCCCACUCUUGUAUAUAAUAUACCUUUCUUUCUACUUGUAUUUUCAUACUUCAUCUCUUCUUGUAAUGUUCAUAUUUUACAACAAUGUGAUUAUGAUGUCAAUAUUUUGUUGUCAAAUACAGUAAUUUGUUUUAAAUGUUUCUUAACUUUUGGGAUUUCUUUUUUUGAUAAAUUCCUGAAUUUAAGAUGAUCAUUUUUAAGUAUACAAAUAAGUAAAUAUUCAAAAUAGUUAUUUGUGUCUCAUCAUCAUCAAUCAUAUCCAGAGAACAGGAUCGACAUAUUUUUGUUUGCAAUCGUGUUUUAAUUAGACACUGUAGACUUUUGUUGAGAAUACUAAUUAGGAGUCUAAGUCCCACAUUAGAUAGAUAGAAAUGAGAAAGCAGAUUACCAUAUAAAAGUGAAAGACUCAUUAACUCAUCGUCUUAAGGUUUUGGGUAAAAAGUGAUGUUAAGCCCUUAUAUUUCAGAUCUCAUUGGUAUUAUAUCUCCUUGGAGAUAGACAAAACAACUUUGACAUUAGAUCUGUUGUGUAAUAACUUAAUAAUGCGUGUUUGUGUUGAGGCAAAAUUCAAGAGAGGAGCAAUUAUAGUUAUGGCAUUAUUCUUUUCACUGACGACACUUGUGAGAAUUGCAAUUGGUACGAUGAUUAGUGGCAAUUACAAGGAGGAGAGUCCAACGACUUUGAUUAUGGAAGGUAUUCUUAACGCAACAUCAAUAAGUAUUUUAAUUUACAUGUCACUGGUGGACCUUCUUGCGUCCGAGAUUUAAUAAAUCCGAAGAUCCAAAUAAAUAGUAGGCUUCAGGUUGGAGUUAACGUAUCUUUGCUUAUUGGGACUGAAUGUAUGUCACUUAUUACAAAAUAAACCUAGGUCUACUAUAUAUAUAUAUAUAUAUAUAUAUACUUUUCUUUCAACUUAUAUUUUCAUAUUGUCGCAUUCAUCUCUUCUUGUAAUAGUUCACAUUUUAUAACAUUGUAAUUCUAAUGUUAAUAUUUUCUAACCAGAUAUAAUAAUUUGUUUUAAGUAUUUCUUAAUUUUCAAGAUUUAUUUUAUCUUUUGAUAAAUUCUUAAAUUUAAAUUUAACAUUUUUAAGUAUAUAAAUAAAUAAAUAUUCAGAAUAGUUAUCCGUGUCUCAUUCAUCAAUCAUAUUACAUUGACAAAAUUUUAAAAAACUUAAAUUAUACAAUUAACAAAUUAGCUGUACAUUAACAAGGAAAGAGAUACAGAAAUUAAGGAGGAUUAUAUACACUAGACUAUAUACAGUAUAUUCAUAUAUUCUAAAAAAUUAGAAUUUGUGUUAAGAAAAAUUAAUUUAUCAGUGUGAGACCAUAAUUAAUUUUAUAUUCAUAUAAAAUUAAAUUAAACAACAAUUAAAUUAAACGCGUUCACUUAAUGGGCCGAGCCCAUGAUGUAGCGCGUAUUAAUGGUAGGGGGUGGAAACAGAAAAGUUGAGCUCGAAAAGAAAGAGGAACAAUAAACAGAAAGUAUAAAAUUUUGAUUUAUUUUGGAAAUGACAUUAAUGUAAAAAUCGAAGGUUUGGGAGAAGGAGAAGGAGAAGGGAGCGUGAUCCUAGCAGCGGAAGGCGCGAGCGAAUCGAAGGCAAUGGUAAAGUUUCUUCCAGAUUCUAAGUACGCUAUAUUUUCGAUCCAGCUUUCUCAUUCUUGCUCCUACUUUCUAGAUUCAAUUCUUAGAUUUUGCAUCAUACCACAAUUAUAAUUACCCAUGUCAAUAAACCAACUCAAUCACCCCACAAAUCACUUUUCUUGCCGCAAAAUCCAUAAAAUCUGGACUUGACGAUGUUGAUUCAUGGUUUCAAGACAAACGCUCUUUCGUGUUUUGACACUCAAUCUUGAAGGUUGUUUAUUUCGUCUUUUUUUGUAUAUGUAUUAGAUUGUUGGGAUAAUUGGACUUUUUUCCCUAAUGCGAUUAGGAUACUCCUAAUAACUUGUCUUUUCAUUCAUGUUUUUAUGAUCUACACCUUGCAAGCGCCAUUUUUAUUCUUUUACUAUCACAUUCUUUCGUUAUGUAUUUCCAAUUUCAACUUGCUUUAUCCCUCCUCUUCUUAAAUGUAGAUACACUUUGUGCUACUCAUUAGUCGUCAGGGGAAGGUCAGGCUCACAAAAUGGUAUUCUCCUUACUCGCAGAAGGAAAGAAAUAAGGUAAGAUGACACCCUAAUCACUGUGUUUGGAUGAAAAUUAGUGAAGUACUUUUGCCAAUUCCACUGUGCAAAUUGAAUAAUGAAGAAAUUGAACUUUUGAGAGUAAAAGAUGUACUUAGUUAUUUAGUUCUUCAAAUUUUCCCAAGCUCCCCUCGUUCCCUUUGGUAUUUGUUAUUUCAGGACUGACUUCUACAUAUUAUUCUUUAACUUGUAAUCUUUGUACCGCCUGCACUGUGAUGGACCUGUGCAUGAUGGCUUACUGUGUCCUACUUAAAUCAUCCUUGAUACAUGAUUUUACAUGCAAUUUAUUUUUUACAAGGCUAUCCGUGAGAUCAGUGGCGUGGUUCUUACACGUGCUCCCAAGCUCUGUAAUUUUGUAGAAUGGCGGGGACAUAAAAUUGUUUAUAAAAGGUAAUUUACAAGUGUGUAUGGCCGUUUGUCAUAUACCACUACUUACUCCUUUGCAAAACACUCUUCUGUCUGGCUAUUUUCUAACAAAUAUUUGCUGCAGGUAUGCUAGUCUUUAUUUCUGCAUGUGUAUUGAUGAAGAGGACAACGAAUUAGAAGUCCUUGAAAUAAUUCAUCAUUUUGUAGAGAUUCUUGAUCGGUAUUUUGGCAGUGUGAGUUCUGUUCAAAGCUGACUUUUGGAGAAUACUGCUUUAUUCACAUAUGAAAAUAGUAUCAUUCUUUCUAGGAAGGGAUGUAAGGAUUAAUGGUCGCUUCACUUUUGCAGGUCUGUGAACUGGACUUGAUAUUCAAUUUCCACAAGGUUUGUCUGUCUGUCUGCGGCUACUUUGUAACCUUUAACCUGUUCUCAUUAUGAAUUAAUUUUGAAGCUGAAAUCACCUUAAAUGGGCAUUAAUAAUUGAUCAUAUGAACUGCCUCAUUUUCUUGGGGUCAACCGAUUUCUCUUCUGACAAAUGUUCUUGGUUUUGUUUUAUCAUGGAAGGCCUAUUAUAUACUUGAUGAACUUCUAAUUGCCGGUGAGCUUCAGGAGUCAAGCAAGAAAACUAUUGCACGGUUAAUAGCUGCACAGGUAUGCAAUGUUCUUUCUCUUUCAGAAAUAUUUGUGUCAGCAGUUUCUUCCUGGAGAGUUUUGUCUGAUGCAAUUUUAUAUGAAAAUGGUUUUCAGGAUUCAUUGGUGGAGACUGCCAAGGAGGAAGCCAGUUCAAUAAGUAAUAUAAUUGCCCAAGCCACUAAAUGAGGAAAUCCCAUGUUCCAUUUGACAUUUUGGGGCAUGGAGCCCUGUUUUUAUUUCUGUUAUGUUGAAUGCUUGAUUCUGUUUUUGUGGUGCAAUAGAAAGGGACAUAAACCAAGUGUGUUUGUUAACAGGAACAUACGAUCUUCUCCAUCUGAAUUCUAAGGUUGGCAAUUUCAUACAUAUAGUUCAUUUUUUUCAGGCAAGAUUGCGUGAAUGGGUCUUCUUAUACCCUUAUAAGAAGGACAUUGAAUUUUGAAAGACCUUUAAUUACUUAAAGGGUCAUUUCUUCCCGUAUCUCCGUAAUUUCAAUCUCUAUCAUGAUAAAAUUUGUAUUUUGGAAUUUAUAAUCUUGAAUAUUAUUUUUAAUAUUUCGCAUUAUAUAUUUUAAAAUACAAAAUAAAAAAAUACAUUUUAAAUUGUAUAGUUCUUAAAAUACAAAUAUAUUUUAGAUUGUAUAUCUUAAAAUGCAAUUUAUGUUACAUUGCAUUAUUUGAAAUACAAAAAUUUGAAGAAAUACAAAAAUUAAAAUUAUGGAAGUGCAGAGAGAAAUUGCGCUCCACCAUAACUUUUAAUAAAUUAAACAGACCAGAAAUUCCGAAAAAUUAAAAAGAAAGGAAGAGUCCGUAUUUAUUUAUUUUAUGAUCUCGUCUUUAUAGUAUUUGUUUCCGUUUUAGAUAAUUAAAAUAUUCUGUAAUUUAAAAGAUUUAUUCUGACUAAUAAAUCUUUUCCUUUAUUUUAUUUUUAAAAAAAAAUCUGAUACAAAAUUUGUAUUCUCUUUUUUAAUUAUUUUUCACAUUCAUCGAAUUUACAAUCUUAACUGUACAUUUCUUUUGUAGUUUUAGUUAUACAUUUCUUUUAAUCUUUUAUACGGUUUUUUGGUUGUAAAAAACAUAAAAAUUAGAGUUAUCAAAUUUAAUCAUCAGAUAUAUAUUUAAUCAUUUUUAUUUUCUUAUAUUUAUACUUUUAAUUUAUUAGAUACCUUAAAAAUUUAUUUUCUCUCUUCCCUAUACUUUGUUUUGUUUGAAAGGAACUUUCGUUCUGUAAAUCUUCCUUCGGUUUAAAUGUUCACUCAAAUUAAUGGAAUAUUUUACUUCUUAACAUUUCUAAAAAUAGUAAACAUUAUUAUUUAAUGUGAUAUUUUAUUUCGAUUUUAUUAAUAUUUGAGAGUAUAAAAAAGAAAAAAAGAUUCCAUAGGCAUGGACAAGAACUGGUCAUUGAAUUUUGGGACUGGUAAUUGAAUUUUGGGACCAGCAGAGCAGGCGUGCACUCCAAAAACCAUCACAAAACAAUGCUGUCCUUAAGUUUCUUCUAUAAGAUCUUCCUUUCCCUUAUCCUUCCAAUGACUUUCAUCACCACAGCUUCCGAGUGAGUGAGUGAGUGAACGAGUCAGCAACAUGGAAAAAGCUGCACGACUCGUCUUCAUCCCUGGUCAAGGAGUGGGUCAUCUCGCCUCCACCAUUCAGUUCGCCAACCUUCUGUUAGAGCGCCACCACCAUAUUUGGAUCACUCUCUUUGUAACCGAACUACAAUCUGACACCACAACCGCUGCUUACACUCAUUCCCUUAACUCCAACCGUCUUCAGCUCGUCAACCUCCCGGAAACUCCAUCCGACGCCCCACUAACUCCGAUGAAAAUAAUCGAACUUCAAAAGCCACACGUCAAAGAAGCUGUCUCCAACCUCAGCCCCACACCCCCACUCGCGGCCUUCGUCAUCGACAUGUUCUGCACCGGCAUGAUCGAUGUCGCCAAAGAGUUCCACGUCCCUUCACUCGUCUUCUUCACCUCUGGUCUUGCUUUCCUUGGUUUGAUGCUUCAUCUUCACACCCUCAAGGAAGAGGAGAACGCCGAGUUCACCGAGCCCGACGCCGAGUGGGUCAUCCCGAGUUUCGCGAAGCCAGUCCCAACACGGAGUUUACCUUCCAUAGUGCUGCGGAAGGAGUGGGAGGAGUUUUUCGUGGCCUACGGGAGGGGCCUCAAGAAAGCUGACGGCUUCAUAGUAAAUUCAUUCGAGGAGCUAGAAUCCCAUGCGGCACACUCUUUCCUUGACGGGCCUCAGCUAGUUUUUGCAGUGGGACCCAUUCUAAACCCAAAGCCCAAGCUCCAUCCCCACGCUCCCGCCGACAACGCUGACAUCUUCGAUUGGCUUGACAACCAACCCCCUUCCUCCGUUGUGUUCAUGUGCUUCGGGAGCAUGGGUUCUUUUGCUGAGGAUCAGGUGAGGGAGAUCGCACGGGCUCUUGAAAACAGUGGGGCCCGUUUCCUGUGGUCCCUGCGGAAAGCUCCACCCAAGGGCUCUAAUUUUAGGACCCCGCCCUCUGAUUACGCUCCCUCCGAAUUGCCUUUGAUUUUACCUGCGGGCUUCUUAGAUCGGACGGCAGGGAUUGGAAAGGUGAUCGGGUGGGCCCCUCAGGCCCAAAUACUGGCCCACCGAGCCACCGGAGGGUUUGUUUCUCACUGCGGCUGGAAUUCUACCCUUGAGAGCAUACAUUUUGGUGUGCCCAUUGCGACCUGGCCGCUUUACGCCGAACAACAGACGAACGCAUAUUUACUGGUGCGUGAGCUGGAGAUUGCUUUGGAGAUUUCGUUGGAUUACAGGGGUGAGCGUGAGUCCAUGAAUGAAACUCCCAGCUUUUUGAAUGCGGAGAAGAUAGAAAAUGGAUUAAGGAAUUUGGUGGAGAUUGAUGAUGAGAAAAGGAAGAGAGUGGUGGAAGCGAGUGAAAAUAGUAGGAAGACAUUGUUGGAAGGUGGAUGUUCUUACUCUUCGUUUGGACGUUUGAUUGAUUACGUAAUGAAUCAGGUUUAGCUAUCCUUAUUCUAAUCAAUCCUAUGUAUUAUUCCAUGCACAAUAUGUUUCUUCGAACGAUGCUGUUCCAUAUUAUAUUUGCAUAUUAUAUUAUUUUUAUUUGAGGAAAAAGUCUCUUUAACAACACUUUUUUUGACAAUUUUUUGACAACGCAUACGUGGUAGUUUAUGAUUGGUUCGUUUCAAAUAUUCUUUUAAAAUAAAUUUAAACAGACGAAUGAAAUGGUGACACGUGUUCUGUUGUCAAAAAAGUUGUCAAAAAGUAUUGUUAAAAUAUCAUUCUCCUUUAUUUAAACUAAUCAUAAACUUAUUUUCCAAACUAUAGCAAGCAUUCACUUUUGUAAUAAUAAAGAAUAAUAAAAUUAUAAUUAUAAAAUCGAAUAUAAAUAAUUAGAUAUAAAAAAGAAGAACCGUCAUCUUUAUAUAAUAAUAUAGAUAAUAAUAUGUAUUAACAUUUUAAAUUAAAAAUAAAAUAAAUAUAUAUUUUGAGUUGUGAACAACAUUAUCACCUUUUAUCUUAAUUAGAACCACGGUUUUCUAACAAUAAUAAAAAAAAAAGCCUAAAAGCAAGUACACCUCUAUUGAACUGUAAAACGAAAGCUUAUUGCUUUAGAAAACAUAGAUUAAAUGAUUUUUUUAUAUCCAAAAAUAAUUAAGGUAAAAUAAAAAGGGUUAAAUAUGUUUUUAGUUCUUUGGGACGAUUUUGAUUUUAGUCUCUUUUUCAAACUAAGGUACAAUUUAGUCUUUCAACUUUAAAAAACUCUUAUUUUAGUCUUUUUUAUCAAAUAUUUUUAACUUUAUUUGUUGUUUCAAACACAAUUCUCAGUUAACAUUAAAGCAAAAAUGUGACAAACAGUGUAAACAAUCCAAAUAUUAUAAUGAAACAGCAAAUAAAGUUAAAAAAAUUUGGUAAAAAAGAACUAAAACCAGAGUUUUCUAAAGAUGAAGGACUAAAUUGUACUUUAGUUCAAAAAAAAGACUAAAACAAAAAUCGUCCCAAAGUAUAGAAACUAAAAACAUAUUUAAUCCAAAUAAAAACAAGCCAGAAGUAGGCUCCAACGAGAACAAAAUUGAUAAACAUUUAAGUCCAUUUUCCACGCAAAUCUCAAUAAUAUCAGAGUCUGUACAUAUGUGACCUUCAGGAAUCCAAUCCUUUAACAGCUUCUUCUGACCCAACAUAUCAGGAAUCCAAACCCUCCUUACCCACUUCAACUCUAUGCCGCUUCAGCUUCCCGCGUCCACUAUCCUCUUCUAAACCCUCUGCUAUACUACUUUCUUUAGCAACACCAUCGAUCAUUGCAGCCUCUUGCAAUGCCAUUUUCUCCUCGUCGCAAAAAAGGGCUUUUGAAGCAGAAGGGUCUUGCUCUGUAACACCCUUAUCUCUAUCAAUACCAUCGUGGUUAACUUCGCUCAAGGAGAGGGAGGGGUCUUGCUGUUGCUGCUGCUCCUCCAUAAUAACAACAGUUGCAGUUUGCUUCAAAACAGAUAUUCCUGACCUUUUGACACUAAUUAUUACCCUAUCCCAAUCUCUCAAAUAAAUGUAUCAUAAGCCUCGUAGACUUGUUCAUGAGAUAGCAUCUCCACUAUCAUACAAAAUACUUCAUUCGGUUCUUAAUUAUUCGUUUUCAGUUCAUUCAAACUGUGCCCUGAUCAGUGACCACAGCCAAAUGCUGCAUUUAAAAGCUACAUCGUGUAAAAAGUGUCGAGUUGAAGAGCUAUACCUCUAUUGAAGUAAUAACCACAGCAUUUGUUGAUUCAGGAGCAAAAAGUAGAAUCAAAAUUGUUACUAUUCAGCUGCACAACCGUGCUGUGCAUGAAUUGAAUAUGUUUUUCAUCAAUGAAAUAUUGUUUCAAAUGAAUGACCAAUGACAGCUCUAGUCAUGUGCACACUGGAUGAACUUAUGCGGGUAGCGUUGGUCAUAAUCAAACCUAACCGACAUCUAAUCUGAUAAAGUUUGGCAUAAUUUAUUUCAUUUCAGUCACUUGAUUCCAAAAUCCUGUUUAAGUUUGAAUUGUAGCCUGGCUUAUAACCAACAUCCAUCAUGUCCCUAGUCAAUAUGUCCAAGAUAUAAUAUAUCUCACCGCUUAGAGGGUGCUUCUCGUCUCUAGUUACAAAGUAGUUCACAGACCCAGCAAUUUCAACCCAGCUACAUGCCAUUUCCUUUUGCAAACCUUUUUCCUUCAUAUGAUUUCUCACUCUAUCAACAUUUUCCCAUUCUCCCUCCUCUGCAUAGAUAUUUGAGAGCAGAACAUGAUAUCCGGCAAUCCUUUUUUCCAAUUCCAUAUUAAGCAACUUUUCAGCAAUAACUUUUCCCAGUUCAAAGUACCCAUGAUUUUUGCAGGCUCCAAGAAUAGAUCCCCAGAUUUCUACUGCAUCACCGUCCUCCCCCAGUCUCUCAACAAACUCAUAAGCUUCGACCACCCUCCCAACCCUCCCUAACAUGUCUGCAACACAACAAUAAUGUUCCGUUGAGGGCUUGAUUUUAUGUACUUUAUCCAUCGACUCAAAUAUGUGAAGACCUUCUUCAACCAAACCACUAUAACUGCAGGCAGACAGGAUGGCAAUAAAAGUAAUUGCAUCGGGCUUAAUCCCGCAUUUCAGCAUGGAAUCAUACAAGGCAAGGGCUCUCUUACCCAUUCCAUGCUGACCAUAGCUCAUUAUCAUUGUGGUGUACGUGACAGAAUUCUUCUCCGGUGUUCUGAUAAAAACAUUUUCCGCAUAACUGAUUGCACCCGAUUUUGAAUAAGCGUCCACUAAAGCAGUUCCCACAUAAACAUUUUGGUCCAACAACUGACGUAUGGAGAAUCCAUGAAGUUGCCUAGCAAGGGCCGUGCUUCCCAUGGAACUACAAGAUGGGAGAAUCGACGCUAAUGUCACUGCAUUAGGGAUUACCUUGCGCACCAAUGCCUCUCUAAGAAUGAGAAUACCUUUGUCACCGAGCCCAUUCUGAGCAUAACCAGCAAUCAUAGCGUUCCAUGAGGCCAGAUCUCUAUCACUUGGGCCGUUCUGCUCAAACAAUAACUCGGAAGUCGUAAUUAAGCCAGCUUUAGCAUACAUGUCAAUCAGAUAACUCUCCAUACCCUCAAACUGUAUCCCAUGGCGAAUUAGAUACGCAUGUGUUUGCCUUCCAAUGUACGAGUCCCUCAUGUUAGAAGCCGCAGAGAGUAAUGCCGUCACAGUGACAGAAUCGACGGUAAACCUCUGCUUCUGCAUCUCACACACAAGCAUCAGUGCUUCCUCAUCCAAACCAUUCUGCACAAAGGAAGAAAUUAUCGUAUUCCACGAAACAGCAUCCCUUUCAGACAUAUUUUCAAAAACCUUAAAGGAAGUAUCCACGGAACUGCAUCUGGAGUACAUCACAAUGAUUGCAUUGACAACAAUAAUGGGAGUAACUGCCAAACUUUUUAGAACAAAUGCAUGUAUCUGCUGAGCCAAUUUUAUUUGCUGCAGCUGGGAAACAGCAGAUAUAACAGACAGGAAAGUGACGUCAUCGCACACAGCCUCCUCUGACUCCAAGGCUUGAACGAACACGCCGAUCCCUUGAAGGGGACAGGUAUUUUGAACAUAACCCCCAAUCAUGGAGUUCCAGACCUCGGUAUUUUUGUUAGAACAGCAGUCGAAAACCAUCCUGGCGUAGUCUAAGCAACCAAGGUCAGCAAACAUAACAAUUGCGGAGCUAACAGCAAAGACGUGAUUGACAAAGUCAGCACCGUGUUUAAGAAGCAGGCCAUAAAGCAUAAGGGCGGUUGUAGGAUGAGUGACAGCGGGGAAGACAUUGACGAAAGUAACGGGGGUUGGCGUGAGAGAGGCUUUGACGAGGGUGGCGAAGGCGCGAAGAGCAUCUAAGUGUCUGUGGGUCUUGACGAACCAGGAAAUCAAGGUGUUCCAAGCGACAAUGUUUCGUUUGCGCAUUACAGCAAACAGUUUGAGGACGUAGUCGUGUUGGGGUUGGGUGGAGAAAGGGGGCAAGCAUACGGAGUACAUGUUCAAGAGGGAGUUGUAAACGACUCGGGAGUUGGAUUGGGAGCGAAGGAAAUGGGAAUGAAGGGCCUUACCGGCCAUGAGGUUUUGGGUAAGGGCGCAGGCCUUCAGGGUGGAAGAGAAGGUGUACCCAUCGGAAGCCGUGUUCCGCCUCGACUUCAUCUCCGCGUACAGCUGCAGGGCUUCCAAUGGCAUCUUGUUGCAGAUGAAGCCGAUGAUGACGGUGUUCCACACGGCGGUGGAGGCGCGUGGAAGGCUGUCAAGAAGAUGGCGAGCCAGCUGAGGCUGCCCUUGUUGGCAGAGUUGGCUUAGGCGAGUGCGGAUGGUGACGCCGCCGCUUGGGUUUCGGGCCACCGCGGGAUCGGUAACGGGAACCGGAACGGGAACAGGAACGACGGGAGAAGCCAUCACCCUCAUUUCCUUCUUGUUUUCACACUCACAUUGUUACCUCUUCAACCAUUCCCCUCUUCCUUCCUACCACCAAAAUAUCUUUCCUCUAUCCACAACAUUACAAAACAAAAUAGGAUAAAGUUAGCAACUUUAGGCCAUUGCCAACUGAUUAAACCACCUCCAUGUUUUUAUUUUUCAACUUUAUCAUUCCAAAUAAAAUUUCAAAUUCUUAUAAAAAUUAUUAAAAAAAAGAUAAAGAUACUUUUGAUUUAUGACACCCGUAUCAAAAAUUUGUUAAAACUUAGAUAUCAAAAUAUCAUUAUCCUAAAAAAAAAAUGAGACAUUUUAAUAAAACAAAUAAAUAAUAAGAUUUGAAGAAAAAAAAAAAACUCAAAUUCUUGGAACAUUUGCAGAUAAUAUGAGAUAAUAUUAAGAUGAUAGAUUGUUUUUACCAGGGAUAAUAGAUAAUGCAGUAUCACUGUAUUAAAUUUUUUAUAUUAAAAUUAUAUUUUUUAUGAUAUUAAAAUCGGAAUAUGUUAAUAUUGAACCAUUAUUUAUUCAAAUAAAUAAAUAGAGUGAAAACCCAUUAAAAAUACAUAACUGAUGUAUUAAAAUAUUAAAAUUAAAAUUCAAUUGAAAUGAAAAUGUAAAAUAAUAAGUUUUGAAAAUGGAAGAAAAAAAAAACUAUUUGUAUUCCAUGGGCAUAGGUUCCUUCUGGAAUAUACUAAGAAGGCAUUGGCGUGGAGGAAUAACGAGGAAAGAGGGAAUUAUAAUGAAUAUUUUUUUUCAUUGCAUUGAGACUCACAAUAAUCUGAAUCCAGAACAUGGAGAUGCAACAGCUCCUCAGUAUGGGCUUCCCCGAUGAGUUAGCCGCCCAAGCCUUGGCCGCCACCGGCGGUAAAUCCACCGUCAAAGCCACCGAAUGGAUUCUCACUCACAAAUCCAGCGCCGCCAACACCUCCACAUUCCAGCCCAAGCUUGAUCGCUUCUUCCAUUCUUCUCAAUCCUCCACACCUCCACAAUCGCAAUCACAGGAGGAAGAAGAAGAAGACGAAGAACCUUCCAAACGUCCCAGGCCUUCUCCACUUUCUGCGCAGAAUCCAUCGCCACAGCCACAGCCACAGCAACAAAACUGGCCCCCUUUCUUCUUCAAAACCGCAGAGAAGAAACACGCCAACACUCACAUUCACCAACCCUUGUACGAGCGCUUGCGUCCCAGAACCCUUGACGACGUCGUAGGGCAGGACCAUCUCCUCGCCGCCAACUCCCUUCUUCGCUCCGCAAUCCAACGCAACCGCCUCCCCUCCAUCCUCUUGUGGGGUCCACCUGGUACUGGUAAGACCACUAUCGCCAAAGCCAUCGUUAAAUCUUCAACCUCAACACGUUACCGGUUUGUCUCCUUAUCCGCCGUCACUAGUGGCGUUAAGGACGUGAGGGACGCCGUUGACGAGGCCAGAAAACUCAGACUUAAAUCCAACCAAUCCACCGUUCUCUUCGUGGACGAGGUUCACAGGUUCAACAAGUCCCAGCAGGACUCUUUCUUACCCGUCAUUGAAGACGGCAGCAUUGUAUUCGUUGGAGCCACCACUGAGAACCCUUCUUUCCAUUUGAUUACACCUCUCUUGUCUCGCUGCCGUGUCCUCACCCUUAACCCUCUCCAACCCCACCACCUUGCCUUGCUUCUAAACCGCGCUGUCAGUGACACUGACAGAGGAUUGAUGCAAAGCGCGGGGGUUCAAGUUGAUGUUAAAGAGGAUGUUGUUGAUUAUAUAAGCAACAAUUGUGAUGGAGAUGCUCGGGUGGCCCUUAAUGCUCUGGAGAUUGCAGCUGUUACUGCAGCAGCGAGGGUACAACAUGGUAAACAAAAAGAAGAAGGGGUGGAAGAUCUUCACACAAACGAGGAUUAUAAGGUUGCUGCUGCUGCUGUUGUUAGUGUUGAUGAUGCAAGGGAGGCACUUCAGUGCAAGCAUCUUGCUUACGAUAAAGCUGGGGAAGAGCACUAUAAUCUAAUCAGCGCGCUGCACAAGUCUAUGAGGGGAAGCGACGCGAAUGCAGCUAUUUAUUGGUUGGCAAGAAUGUUAGAGGGAGGUGAAGAGCCUCUUUACAUUGCACGCAGACUCAUACGAUUCGCAAGUGAGGAUGUUGGUUUGGCUGACCCAUUAGCUCUUAAUCAGGCUGUUUCUUGCUACCAAGCUUGCCACUUCUUGGGAAUGCCCGAAUGCAAUGUAAUUCUUGCACAGUGUGUUGCUUACUUGGCCUUGGCACCUAAAUCUGUUGCGGUUUAUCGAGCCUUAGGGGCCGCGCAGAAGGCAGUGAAGGAAUCUGCUGGACAGAAUGAGGGGGUGCCUCUACAUUUGAGGAAUGCUCCAACCAAAUUAAUGAAGGAAAUUGGGUAUGCGAAAGGAUACAUCUACCCCCCAGACAACCCUUCCUCCACACAGACUUACUUGCCACCUUCACUUCAAGGCUACAAGUUCCUUGAUUGGCCUGACAGGAUUCCUUAUGAUGGAUGAGAGCAUUAAAUCAAAGAUCAGGACUUAUGUGUCAUUUUUUAUCUUUGGUUUUUUGGGGUAGUAGGGGGAGAUCUGGAGAAGGAUGCACAGUGCAUACGAUGUUUUCCGUAUCUAUAUUUUUUUUUCACCAUUGCUGAGAAAUACAUCCACGAUGAUGGGGGUGGGGGCACACUAAAUGCUGGUGAAAUGCAUUCUGUAAAUUUUGACACGACUAAAUCUCAUUCUGACUGGUUUUUGCUGAAUUUUAUUUUAUUCUUCUGCAUUGCUAAUCGGCAAUUACUAUAUGAAUUGUUUUAUUGAAUAAUUGUUGAGUAAAUUAAAAGGAAAUGAACACCGAAAAUUUUAAAUGCUUAUUUAAAUUCAAUUACACGGUAUUUCAGCCAAAAACAUUAUAAUACCCUUGAAACGUAACAUACUGAAUUACUAGUCUGAGGUGUAUUACAGUAGCAUUGAAGUUAUCUGGUAUGAGGAUGCGGCCUAGAGAUUACAAUUGCUUGCCUGCAUUUCACGCUUUACACGGAUGACUCAAGCGAAACACGCGAUUUACAAUCCACCUACAACAUGCUAAUAGUUGUGACGAUAUACACCAAAAAAAACAAACUCUCUUAUUAUUAGUAAAAGCUGAGAUUGGAGGUCAACUGAGGAAUUAGAUCCAUUCCUUGGGGUUGAUGCACGCAUCCAAGAGUUUCCAUUCUUCACUUCCUUCUUCUGGUUUCUGCAUACAAAAUUUCACCACCGUUUCAGUAACAAUUUCAUAAGUGGAAAAUUAGAGGUAUCUAAUAUCAUCUUGUUUAAAUAAAUAAAGAUUCCAAAAUCAUACAUGAUCAUAUUCCCACCGAGCAGUCAGUGGGAGAGAAACAAGAAUACUCUCUAUCCUGCCCCCAGUUUUCAGUCCAAAUGUUGUACCCCUAUCGUAUACCUGUGGCCGAAAAAUGUUUGAUAAGACAUUUAUUCCUGAUAAAAAAGAGUAUAGAGGUACACUUUAGCCUAUAGUUGGAUUAAAAGUGUACCAAAUUGAAUUCAACAUAUCGGCCCCUUCGCAAUUGUUGCCAUGCUUUCUGAUGCUCUGUGAAGGGCAAAUCCUUCCUUUUCUCUAUGAUAGGUAAAUAAGCAGGAAUAACAGAAUUUGCACAUUCUACAAGAAAAAAUUGUUUAAGCAGCAUGAGAUAGUGACAAUUAGAUUUCUAUCCAGAGUGAAACAUCAAACGUAUAACGCAAACAGUCACCAGUAGCAAAGGAAAGUAGCAUCUCCUGAUCAUAGUCGUUCAGAUCAUCAAAAAAUAUCCCUCCAAGCCCUCUUCUUUCACCUCGAUGCUGAGUGGAGAAAUAAAAGGAAAAUCAAUGAAAACAAACCAACAGCAGCUUAUGCUCAUGCACCCAAGUUCAAUUAAAAAUAUACUUCAAAUAAAUCCACUCUAGUCCUUUACAAAUAUAGCAGAUGGCAUCCAUGGAACAUCUAGUUAGACAUUAUAUUUUAUUUUUCUCAACUGGUGCACUCCAAUAUGGGACCACUGUCUGUGAUAACUGGCAAACAAGAGACUGAAACAAAAGGUAUAAUUCUAAGCUUACGCCUACAUUUCCUUGCAACAUGAACAAGGAAUAAGUUAUGCUAUUGUUUGGUAAGUCAAGUGGAUAGGAUAAGCUUAUUCUAUCAUGUUAGUCUUACCGGAAGUUUACCAUAAGGAAGGUUUAGGUUAUGAACAGAAUAUGACAUACAAUUUUCCAUUUUUACCGACAACUCAUUUGUUUCACGACCACUACCACUACAAUUGUUGUCACUAGCAGCACUCCCAUUGCUACUACCACCAUUACUAUCGAUACCAUCUUUGCCCGACACGGUAAUUGUAGUCACCACACUACACCGCCAUCGCCAUUGUUCUUACUACAGCUAAAGUAACCAACACCAUUGCCAGUUUUGCAACUAUUAUAUUCACUGCCACAGCAUAUAUUGCCUCCAUCGCUGUAGCAUCACCAGACCUUGAUAACAUCAUUAUUAUCCUUCCCUCCAUUGUUUCCCAUUAUUGUUACAAUUGCUACUACGACCACCACUUUUGCUGUUAAUGUCAUUCCCACGACUACCAACACUUUUUCACAAUAGUAAAUUGGUCAUUUGCAUACAAUUUACAUUAUUAUCUACUAGUAUGCACCAAGCAAAAGACAAUAUAGGAACUUAAUUUGCUUAUAUCCUUUCGGAAGCCUGACUAUUAAACAAGCCCUAAAUGCAUAUACUUUCCAUUAAUAUUUUUCCAAUAAUGCUUGGGAUGAAUAGCAAAAGGACAUUUCUCAAAACAGAUCAUAAACAGAUAAUGAAAAAAAAAAAAAAAAAAUUAUCCACCCAAUGUUGUCAAUGAGGUCAUAUUCCUCCAUAACUAUUGGCAAGCCACUUCAUUUAAAUUCAUGGCUUCUAGAUACCCCUGCAUCACAUAUUUUCUUCCACUCCCGUCAUUUUAUUCUCAACCACAGUCAUUGCUGUUAGCCCGUUAACCAUUUACCACCAUUGGUUUCUUGCUUACUAAUUAUUAUACCCUCCAAGUCGUCAUAUAUUAAAUUCAUCAAAAUUAACCCUAAGUUCAUGUGAUUGUUAAGUUUUGCUUUUAUGAAACAGGCCCAAAGGCUAUACUGAAAAAAUACAGUAAUAUCUUCACUGUGUGAAAAAUGUUGAAGAAUUAUACCUUGAUAUAAAAGUAAUCAUCACACCAUUUCUUGAAUCGAGGGUAAAAUGUAGGCUCAAACUUGUCACAGGCACGUUUUUGAACCUACACAAAAAGUAUGAUAGAAGUACAUUCAGCGAAACACUCUCUCUAGAAUGCAUCCAAUAAAUAAAAUUAAUCACUAGAAUGAUCAACUACAGCUUAAUGUUUCCCUAACCAAAAUUGUUCAAAACAAAAAUCAAGAUUACAUCAAAUUGAUAAUUUAUGUUUCCAUUUCAGGGUUUAAUCUAGGUAAUGUAGAAAGUUUGAAAGACUUUAUGUGAUCCUGAUUGAAGAGUCCUUAAGCAUUUGCAGAAACCCUUUUUAUGGAAACACAGAGGAAGUCAUUAUGCGUUCAACAUUUGAAUGCCUGUCACUUUAAAAGAACCAAGCUACAUAAACUAAACUUCAAAAAACCUACCCACAGCUAUAGUGAUAUAUAAAUGUACUCACUAAAAGUACCAACACCAUUAAGGUCUAGUAACAUUUUUACUUUUAUAAAAGGUCAUGCUAGGUAUCAAUAUAUUCUUUGGAAUCACUGUUAAGCCUCCGACACAUCAAAAUACAUCAAGGUAUGGUGAACAUUUUAACGCAAAGGAAAGUGAUUUUUUUUCUAUCUAUUUUCCAACAAAAACAAUAUCUGAUAUGUGCGGUAAGCAACGUACUGAGUGGAAGUGCUUAACAUCCUCCUCAAAAAUAUAAGCUGGUGUCAGGUCAGUCCCCCCACCAAACCACCAUUGUCUAGGUGCACCAGGAGCAUCUGCAGAAAGCAAGAGCAUGACUAUCAACAAUAGCAGCAAACUCAACAAAGGGUUCAACUCAACAACUUUAUGCUCUCACGUUAACACCCCUUUGCUUUCAUAUUGAUUAGAAAAUACAAGCCGUCCUAAGAUUUUGAGAAUAAACAAACAGCAGUAACAAAUAAAUUAAAAAUAAAUAACAGAUUAAACUGGGAUUUCGGGUAACCAAGUUGGGGAGAGACUCACCAGACAGCUAAAUAUUAAGUCAGAUAAAGAUUAGCUGCCAUUAAGGAUUAAAAGAUUAUACAGUUCCAAACACACACACAAAAACCAAACAACAUCAAGGAAAAAAAAAAAUCAUGGAAGAAGUAGUAUAAAAAGAAACAUACAAAUCACAUCACAUUUGCAACGACCAGAAAGUGAUGAAACCAGUACCGCUAGAUUGAUACAAAGAGCAGCUUGGAAAGAGUAAAGCAUAAUGUAAUUUACCUUUAGGAGCAUCGGUUUCAAAAUAGCGAUAAUUGAAAUGUAGCGUAGGAGCAAACGGGUUCUUUGGGUGUAAAACCUGAACAGAAAGACAAGGGAAGAUUAAUUACUCCAAAAAUAAAUAACAUAAAAAUAACAAAAUCGAGUUAAGACACGAGAAAGAGACGGGAGAACAUACGGAGCUGAUUCCUGCAGCGAAGAACGGUACAGGACCAGGUUUUUGAUCGGUAGGAGCACCCUUGGCAGCACGAUAAGCAUCAGGUGGCAUAACGCCAUAAACGACAGAGACAUUAACACCAGCCUUCUCCCAAACGGCGCCGUCUUGAAGAACCCUGCUAAUGCCACCGCCGCCACCGGGCCUGGACCAAACAUCCUCCUUGAACUGGGCGCCACCAUCAGCGGCCUCAAGGGCACUGCAGACACUGUCCUGGGCCUCCCUAAUCAUCUUCUCGAAGCGGGCCCGAACGGAGGAAGAAGAUUGGGCCUCGUCGACUCCUCUGAGAAACGUUUCGGGACGCUCCGCCUCCGGCGUCUCUUUCUCUAUCGAGACGGUGGCUCUGACCACGCAUUUUCCGAAGCUUAUGGUCUGAAUCCUGGGCUUCCAAGUCCGUUUAGUGAGCGAUAUCGCAGUUGGAGAAAUGGAAGAAGUGGAAGAGCGAAAGGGGAAGACGUAGGAGGGAGCUGAGACAACGGCGGCUGACGGCAUUGUUAUGCUUCCGAUUCACAGAAAACUAACCAGAUUCUGAUAAGGUCUUCCUUUCAAAUAACUCCAACUUUGCCAUUUUUAAUCUUUUUUUUAAAUCUUCUAUUUGCAAUCGAAUUUCUAACACGCCCACAGAUAGCACGGAAAUCCAACCAGCCUCUCACGUUGGUUUGCUUUCGAUCUUACUUCUUCAUUUAUUUUACUUACAUCAAAAAUACCUUUUAUUUACCACCAAAGGUUUACAUUAUAUUUAAAAUUUUCAAAAUUAAAUUCAGUACUUGUGAAAUUGAAAAAAAAAAUUGUGGGAAACUGAAAAUUGUUUUAUCGCCGGCAAACUAUUAAUAUCAAAUUAAUAAAAAUAUUUAUUAAAACAAUAAGAACUGUUUAAGAUAAAAUUAUGAAUUUGAUUCCAACAUUUAAAAAUGUAUAUUGUUUAGGAAUAUAAGUUGGAAGUCCAUUUCUACAAGCAUGUCAAAGUUCAAGGUUUUCAAUAGCUAUUACUUAAUUUAAAUUUCUUUCGUUUAUUUAAUAUCGUUCAAAAAAUACUUGCAGAAAAUAUUCAAAUAUUAAAAUAUUAAAUGAAUUUGAGUUUAUAAUUUAAAUAUUAAAUAUAUAUCAAAAUGAAAUUAUUUAUUUCUUUAUCUUAAAUUUUUAUUUACGACGAAAACUACAAAAGAAAUGUACAUUUAAAAUUGUAAAUUCGAUGAAUAUGAAAAAUAAUUAAAAAAGAGAAUAAAAAAUUUGUAUCAGAAUUCUUUCAAAAUAAAAUAAAGGACAAAAAGUUAAUAGUCAAAAUAAAUAUUUUAAAUUACAGAUUAUGUUAAUUAUCUAAAAGGAAACAAAUACAAUAAAGAGAUGAGAUGAUAAAAUAAAUAAAUACGGACUCUUCCUUUCUUUUUAAUUUUUCGGAAUUUCUGGUCUGUUUAAUUUAUUAAAAGUUAUGGUGCAGCGCAAUUUCUCUCUGCACUUCCAUAAUUUUAAUUUUUGUAUUUCAAAUAAUGCAAUGUAACAUAAAUUGUAUUUUAAAAUAUACAAUCUAAAAUAUAUUUAUGUUUUAAGAACUAUACAAUUUAAAAUGUAUUUUUUAUUUUGUAUUUUAAAAUAUAUAAUGCGAAAUAUUAAAAAUAAUAUUCAAGAUUGUAAAUUCUAAAAUACAAAAAUUUCUUCCUUUGUGCAGAAUGGUUUGGAUGAGGAAGCACUGAUGCUUUUAAAGCAAUAAGCUUUCGUUUUACUUUCUUUUAGGCUUUUUUUUAUUAUUGUUAAGAAAAUCGUGGUUUUAAUUAAGACAAAAGUCAAAAUUCAUGGUAAAUAUUAAAAUAGUUUGUAAAAUAAGUUUAUGUUUUGUGUUUUUAAGAUGAAUUUGAGGAGUAAAUUUAAGUCAAUUUUUGGAAAAAAGAAAAACGGUGAAAAGUUAGAUUAUUUGAAUUCAAAAAUAAAUGUGAAAAAUGAAGAAAAAUUAUUGAAACAUUUAUAAAAUUUAUUGAUUGAAAAAAUGUUUUAAUUAAUAAAAUCAAAUACUUAUUAUUUUACCUUUAGUCAUAAAAUAAUUUAAAAUAAAAUUUUGUUAAUGUAAAUUGUAUUAAAAUAAAAUGUGGAUUAUUAUCUUACAUAAAAAAAAUUAAAAUUGAUGGAAUUAUAUUAAAAUAAAAUGAAAUUGAUAAAAAUUAAAUGAAAAUAAACUGAGAAUGAUUAGCUUAAAUAAAAAAAAAAGUAAUACUUUACAUAUUUAAAAUUAUUUAUUAUUAUUAUUAAUCUAGGCUUAACCAGUCCUGUUCCAACCAAACAAAAAUCAAUCAAGUAUAUUCAAAAAGCACAUAUAAUAAUCAAGAUCUUAGUUGAAGUUGUGCAGCAUCUUUGUAAUCUCCCGAAGUUCACUCAGAAAGAUGGAGCGACAACAUAGAAUCGAUUUCAACAAGGAGAAUUGAUUCCCUGCAUACAAGAGAACCAACCUAUAGAGUGCUCAGAAUCGAUUCUCAACAAACAGAAUCUGUUCUUUGAUAUUAAAUCGAUUCUUUGGAUAGUCAGACUUGUUCACUAGAAUCGGUUCUCAUCUUGCCCAUUCUAAACCCCCCACCCACCCAAACUAAAUCAUUCCUCGCACAUCCACAAUAAUCAAAUCAAUGACAAUAUCCAUUUUAGGAGUGUGAUACGAAACUGGAAAGAGUAUCAAAUCAAUGAUAAUAUGGAAAAGCAUCAUUCGAAGAAAUAUAUCGUGCAUGGAAUAAUAAUACAUAGAAUUGAUUAGAAUAAGGAUAGCUAAACCUGAUUCAUUACGUAAUCAAUCAAACGUCCAAACGAAGAGUAAGAACAUCCACCUUCCAACAAUGUCUUCCUACUAUUUUCACUCGCUUCCACCACUCUCUUCCUUUUCUCAUCAUCAAUCUCCACCAAAUUCCUUAUACCAUUUUCUAUCUUCUCCGCAUUCAAAACGCUGGGAGUUUCAUGCUUGGACUCACCCCUGUAAUCCAACGAAAUCUCCAAAGCAAUCUCCAGCUCACGCACGAGUAAAAAUGCGUUUGUCUGUUGUUCGGCGUAGAGCGGCCAGGUCGCAAUGGGCACACCAAAAUGUAUGCUCUCAAGAGUAGAAUUCCAGCCGCAGUGGGAAACAAACCCUCCGGUGGCUCGGUGGGCCAGUAUUUGGGCCUGAGGGGCCCAUCCGAUCACCUUUCCAAUCCCUGCCGUCCGAUCUAAGAAGCCCGCGGGUAAAAUCGAAGGCAAUUCGGAGGGAGCGUAAUCAGAGGGCGGGGUCAUGAAAUUAGAGCCCUUGGGUGGAGCUUUCCGCAGGGACCACAGGAAACGGACCCCACUGUUUUCAAGAGCCCGUGCAAUCUCCCUCACCUGAUCCUCAACAAAAGAACCCAUGCUCCCGAAGCACAUGAACACAACGGAGGAAGAGGGUUGGUUGUCAAGCCAAUCGAAGAUGUCAUCGUUGUCGGCGGGAGCGUGGGGAUGGAGCUUGGGCUUUGGGUUUAGAAUGGGUCCCACUGCAAAAACUAGCUGAGGCCCGUCAAGGAAAGAAUGUGCCGCAUGGGAUUCUAGCUCCUCGAAUGAAUUUACUAUAAAGCCGUCAGCUUUCUUGAGGCCCCUCCCGUAGGCCAGGAAAAUCUCCUCCCACUCCUUCCACAGCACUAUGGAAGGUAAAUUCCGUGUUGGGACUGGCUUCGCGAAACUCGGAAUGACCCACUCGGCGUCGGGCUCGGUGAACUCGGCGUUCUCCUCUUCCUUGAGGGUGUGAAGAUGAAGCAUCGAACCAAGGAAUGCAAGACCAGAGGUGAAGAAGACGAGUGAAGGGACGUGGAACUCUUUGGCCACAUCGAUCAUGCUGGUGCAGAACAUGUCGACGACGAAGGCCGCGAGUGGGGGUGUGGGGCUGAGACGGCUUCUCUGACGUGUGGCUUUUGAGGUUCGAUUAUAUUCAACGGAGUUGGUGGGGCGUCGGAUGGAGUUUCGGGGAGGCUGACGAACUGAAGACGGUGGGAGUUAAGGGAAUGAGUGUAAGCAGCGGUUGUGGUGUCAGAUGGUAGUUCGAUUACAAAGAGAGUGAUCCAGAUAUGGUGGUGGCGCUCUAACAGAAGGUUGGCGAACUGAAUGGUGGAGACGAGAUGACCCACUCCCGGACCAGGGAUGAAGACGAGUCGUGCAGCUUUCUCCAUGUUGCUGACUCGUUCACUCACUCACUCACUCGGAAGCUGUGGUGAUGAAAGUCAUUGGAAGGAUAAGGGAAAGGAAGAUCUUAUAGAAGAAACUUAAGGACAGCAUUGUUUUGUGAUGGUUUUUGGAGUGCACGCCUGCUCUGCUGGUCCCAAAAUUCAAUUACCAGUCCCAAAAUUCAAUGACCAGUUCUUGUCCAUGCCUAUGGAAUCUUUUUUUCUUUUUUAUACUCUCAAAUAUUAAUAAAAUCGAAAUAAAAUAUCACAUUAAAUAAUAAUGUUUACUAUUUUUAAAAAUGUUAAGAAGUUUAAACCGAAGGAAGAUUUACAGAACGAAAGUUCCUUUCAAACAAAACAAAGUAUAGGGAAGAGAGAAAAUAAAUUUUUAAGGUAUCUAAUAAAUUAAAAGUAUAAAUAUUAGAAAAUAAAAAUGAUUAAAUAUAUAUAUAUAUAUAUAUAUAUAUAUAUAUAUAUAUAUAUCUGAUGAUUAAAUUUGAUAACUCUAAUUUUUAUGUUUUUUACAACCAAAAAAAAAUGUAUAAAAGAUUAAAAGAAAUGUAUAACUAAAACUACAAAAAGAAAUGUAUAGUUAAGAUUGUAAAUUCGAUGAAUGUGAAAAAUAAUUAAAAAAGAGAAUACAAAUUUUGUAUCAGAAUUUUUUUAAAAAAUAAAAUAAAGGAAAAAAGUUAUUAGUCGGAAUAUAUCUUUUAAAUUACAGAAUAUUUUAAUUAUCUAAAAGGGAAACAAAUACAAUAAAGACGAGAUCAUAAAAUAAAUAAAUACGAACUCUUCCUUUCCUUUUAAUUUUCAGAAUUUUUGGUCUAUUUAUUUUAUCAAAAGUUAUGGUGCAGCAAUUUCUCUAUGCACCUCCAUAAUUUUAAUUUUUAUUUCUUCAAAUUUCUGUAUUUCUAAUAAUGUAAUAUAAAUUGUAUUUUAAGAUAUACAAUCUAAAAUAUAUUUAUAUUUUAAGAACUAUACAAUUUAAAAUGUAUUUUUUUUUAUUUUGUAUUUUAAAAUAUAUAAUGCGAAAUAUUAAAAAUUUUAUUCAAGAUUGUAAAUUCCAAAAUUCAAAAUUUUAUCAAGAUAGAGAUUGAAAUUUCGGAGAUACGGGGAGAAAUGACUAAGUAAUUAAAUGUCUUUCAAAAUUCAAUAUCCUUCUUAUAAGGGUAGAAGAAGACCCCAUUCACGCAAUCUUGCCUGAAAAAAAUGAACUAUAUGUAUGAAAUUGCCAACCUUAGAAUUCAGAUAGAGAAGAUCGUAUGUCCCUUUCUAUUGCACCACAAAAACAGAAUCAAGCAUUCAACAUAACAGAAAUAAAAACAGGGCUCCAUGCCCCAAAAUGUCAAAUGGAACAUGGGAUUUCCUCAUUUAGUGGCUUGGGCAAUUAUAUUACUUAUUGAACUGGCUUCCUCCUUGGCAGUCUCCACCAAUGAAUCCUGAAAACCAUUUUCAUAUAAAAUUGCAUCAGACAAAACUCUCCAGGAAGAAACUGCUGACACAAAUAUUUCUGAAAGAAAAAGAACAUUGCAUACCUGUGCAGCUAUUAACCGUGCAAUAGUUUUCUUGCUUGACUCCUGAAGCUCACCGGCAAUUAGAAGUUCAUCAAGUAUAUAAUAGGCCUUCCAUGAUAAAACAAAACCAAGAACAUUUGUCAGAAGAGAAAUUANUUGACCCCAAGAAAAUGAGGCAGUUGAUAUGAUCAAUUAUUAAUGCCCAUUUAAGGUGAUUUCAGCUUGAAAAUUAAUUCAUAAUGACAACAGGUUAAAGGUUAAAAAGUAGCCGCAGAGAGACAAACAAACCUUGUGAAAAUUGAAUAUCAAGUCCAGUUCACAGACCAGCAAAAGUGAAGCNNNNNNNNNNNNNNNNNNNNNNNNNNNNNNNNNNNNNNNNNNNNNNNNNNNNNNNNNNNNNNNNNNNNNNNNNNNNNNNNNNNNNNNNNNNNNNNNNNNNNNNNNNNNNNNNNNNNNNNNNNNNNNNNNNNNNNNNNNNNNNNNNNNNNNNNNNNNNNNNNNNNNNNNNNNNNNNNNNNNNNNNNNNNNNNNNNNNNNNNNNNNNNNNNNNNNNNNNNNNNNNNNNNNNNNNNNNNNNNNNNNNNNNNNNNNNNNNNNNNNNNNNNNNNNNNNNNNNNNNNNNUUUGGGAAACAAAUAUUCUUGAAUUUCAGUGUCUCCUUUGUUAGUAGAUAAAUAGUUGAUAAUCAGUUUUGUGGUGGCAGCAUCCACUGAAAAACCCUUGUCUUUCAUAAUUGCAAGGUAUUUUAUUGACCUUGCAAUCUCCUUUUUUGUCAGCAAGCCCUGGACAAAGACAUUGUAAGUGCAGUUAUUUGGCGGGCAGUUCUCUUCCAUAUUCAUCAGCAAGUCUUCAGCUUUAUCUAUCAGUCCUUGUUUACAGAGACCCUUAAUCAUAAUGGUAUACGCAUAAACGUUAAUUUGCAAGCCUUUAGCAGGCAAACUAGAAAACAGUUCCCAUGCAUCCUUCAAUUUCCCAGAACUGCAUAUUCCGUCAAGUAAAAUGGCAUAAAUGAAAAUAUUAAGAUCCAAAUUACUCUUCUCCAUUGCCUCAACCAAUGACACUGCCUCAGAAAGGAGAUUUCCUUUACACAGGCCAUCCAACAUAACAGAACAAGUUUGAAUAUUAGGAACUUUACCAUGUUUAUGCAUAUUAAAAAACAGAUCUUUCGCAGCUAAUGAUUGACCUGCUUGACAAAACCCACCUAUAAGAGUGGUCCAAGUGACAACAUCGGGUACAAAUCCCAUCUUACCCAUUUCCUCCAACAAAUACAUAGCCUUGUUAAUGUUUUUGUUCUUGCACCAUCCAUGGAUAAGUGAAGUAAAAACUGCAAUGUCCGGUAAACAGCCCCCGUUAACCAUAAAAUUAAAUAUUCCCAUGGCCUCAUUCAUUUGGUUUUGCAAACAAUAAACGUGAAUCAGUGAAUUAUAUGUAAAGACAUCCGGUUUCUCACCCAUUAUAAUCAUAAACCCAAUCACACUUUUAGCCUGCGUUACUUUUCCUUCUUUGCAAAAAGAAUCCACUAAAAUAUUGAGUGUUUGGACAUCCGGCUUCAUUCCCAUUUUCAUCAUGUCAUCCAGAAGAGAACCAACUUCUUUCCAUCUUCCAAAAUUACAGAGACCUUGAAUCAAACAAGUAUAGGUGACAAGAUUAGGCAAGACAUCUUUUGCACCCAUUUCAGAGAACAAAUUUAAUGCCUCGUAUACCAAUCCAUCCUUGCACAAACCAUCCAUAACACUGCUGUAAACUACCACAUUAGGUUUCCAAUUCCUUUCCUCCAUCUUCCUUAACCAUCGAACUGCCACCAAAGUGUCUCCCGUCUUACACAACCCAUUAACCAACACCCCAUAAGUGUAUACAUCUAAUGGAUACCCCAAUUUCUCCAUAUGAUCAGCCAACACCACAGCCUGAGCCACAUUGCCUUGCACACAAAGCCCAUUAAUGAGAUUGGUAAGAGUCAUCACAGUGGGCUCCAAACCAAGUUUGAACAUGGUCCCCAAGACGGAGAACCCAAAAGAUAUCAACUUUAAGCGACAAAGACAGUUGAUCACAAUAUUAAGAGUAAUGGUAUCAGGUUCUAUGCCUAGAGCAGAAUACAUGUGCUUAACCAAAGAUAUGGCAGUGGUGUAAUGCCUCAACCUCACAAUAACACCCAACAAUAAAGUAAAGUCCUUCACAGAAGGCACAGGCUUCAUUCUAGCCAUUCUUUGAAACAAGUCCAAAGCUUCAUCAAAGUUCUUCACUUGACCUACCCUGCAUUGGUGCCUCAUGAAAAUCAAGAACUGCGUCCCGUUGCUGUGCCUCUCAGCAUCAUCUGUGUUUGUGCUAGUGACUAUGGAAGUACCCAUCGUGUGAAGAAGACAAGGGAAACUAGAGAGAUAGAGAAAUCUUGAAGCAUUCAAAGUUACUCUUUUGCUUCCGAGUAGCAUCAGUGUCAGAAACAACUUGCUGCCUAAUGGUUGCGAACAAUGUUAUCAAGAUCGCGAGUCAACUCGUUAACUCGGAGAAGUUUACCUUCCCAUAGCCUCAAACCUAGUUGACAUCCUCGGGACGCCGGCGUUUUGCCGGAGGAAAACCCAAAACGAGCAUGAGACGCGGAUGAGAAACACAGUAAAGAAUAUCGAGAUGAUGAUUAAAUCUCACCGGAGAUAGCAGCGGCUGCCAAGGGUUCCUACGUCGCACAAAGUUUUGUGAGCCUGACCUUCCCCUGACGACUAAUGAGUAGCACAAAGUGUAUCUACAUUUAAGAAAAGGAGGGAUAAAGCACGUUGAAAUUGGAAAUACACAAAGAAAGAAUCUAGAAAGUAGGAACAAGAGAAAGAUGUCUGAAGAAGAAUGAAAAAGCUGGACCGAAAAUAUAGCGCACUUAGAAUCUGGAAGAAACUUUACCAUUUCCCUCGAUUUGCUCGCGCCUUCCGCUGCUAGGAUCACGCUCCCUUCUCCUUCUCCUUCUCCUUCUCCCAAACCUUCGAUUUUUACCUUAAUGUCAUUUCCAAAAUAAAUCAAAAUUUUAUACUUUCUGUUUAUUGUUCCUCUUUCUUUUUGAGCUCCGUUUUUCUGUUUCCACCCCUGCCAUUACUACGCGCUACAUCAUGGGCUCGGCCCAUUAAAUGAAUGCGUUUAAUUUAAUUGUCAUUUAAUUUAAUUUUAUAUGAUUAUUUGUCAAAAAUUAUUAAGACUUGUUCGGGUCUCACAUUAAUCAAUUAAUUAUUCUUAACACAAAUUCUAUUUUUUUAAAAUAUAUGAAUAUAUUGUAUUUAGUCUCGUAGUGUAUAUAAUACUUAUUAAUUUCUGCGUAUCUUUUCUGGUUAAUGUACAGCUAUUUUGUUAAUGGUAUAAUUUAAGUUUUUUAAAAUUUUUUCAAUGUAAUAUGAUUGACGAACGGAUAAUUAUUUUGAAUAUUUAUUUAUUUAUAUAUUUAAAAAUGUUGGAUUUAAAUUUAGAAAUUUAUUAAAAGACAAUAAAUUUUGAAAAUUAAGAAACACUUAAAACAAAAUAUAUAUAUAUAUAUAUAUAUAUAUAUAUAUAUAUAUAUAUAUAAAAUAGAUUCGAUAUUUUGAAUAUUUUAGUUAUAUACUAAAAAUUAAAUUCAAGAAUUUGUAAAAAAUAAAACAAAUCCUAAAAGUUACACUUAAAAUAAAUUAUUGUAUUUGGUAACAUAAUAUUGACAUCAGAAUCACAAUAUUGUAAAUUAUGAAUUAUUACAGUAAGAGAUGAAUGUGAGACAAUAUGAAAAUACAAGUAUUGACUGUCGUACCAAUUGCAAUCCCCUUAGAUAUCGUUAGAGACAAGAAUAAUGCCAUGACUAUAACUGUUACUCUCUAGAAUUUUGCCUAAACACAAACACGUGUUAAUCAAGUCAUUACACGAAAAUCUGAUGUCAAAGUUGUUUUGUCUAUCGAGAGUCAGGUUCACCAAGGAAAUCUAAUACUGAUGAGAUCUAACACAUAGAAAACUCUUCACCCAAAAUAUCAAGACAAUAACUUAACAAGUCUUUCACUCUUAUAUCGUACUCUACUUAAAAUGUUUAAUUAAAACACAAUUACAAAUAUUAAACAAGUCUUCAUCAAUAAUGUUGUUAAAACGACCACUUCAUCCAAAUAGCCAACACAACUUAAUCUUUGAUAGUUUAAUUAGCAAAGCAGUUAAUACACAGGUUAAUACAUAUAGUUUUACAAUAAUCACAAUUAAAUUAUGACUUUUUUUUUUAAUUUUGUUUCUUUAUUUUAAGAUUAAUUUCUAGUUUAGUUUCGUUUCUUGAUUUUUUAAAGUUAAUGUAGUUUUAAUAUUUAUUAAAAAUAUUCAAUAUAAUCUAAAAUGGUAGUUAACGUGAUUAGAAGUUUAAACUGAAAUUUUCUAAGCCAUUUUUCUUUUUCAGUUGUAUCUCUCUUCUUCUUCGAACCUAUUUUCUUCUGUGUAAUACAGGAAAUCGAUACAUUUACGUUUUUAAUAACAUUUUCCUUAAAAUCAAUUUCUUCACUCAAUACGAGAAGGUGCUAUGUUUGUUCUGCAAUAAAUUUAUCUUUUUUUAAGAGAAAAUAAAACAUGUCUAAAAGACCAAUUACAAUGAAAAAUACCUGAUAAAUUAAUUUAUUUCCACUAUUUUUUUAUCCAUUCUAAUUAGAAGGAUAAAUUAUUUCCAGUUUUUUCUUGUUAAUCUAAAUAAUGCAUAUUUUCACUCGUUAUUUCCCAUCCUCAAUAUUUCUAUUAAUUUAUCUUUUUCCUCUCCGUGAUGAAUAGAGAUAUGCGUUAUUUUAGUCCAAAGAAUUUUCUCUCCUUCUAAUUUUUUUAUUUUAUUUUCAGUGUAAAACAACAUCUAUGCCUUUACCAAAAAGGAAAUUCACCAUUUUUUAUCUACAAUUUAUUUUUCAGUUUUGUCCUUUCAUAAAUAAUAAGUAAUUAUUUUUUUAAAUUAAAAUAAUUAAUUUAUCAAUUUUAUCAUUUAAACUUAACUAUCUUUCUAAUUUGAUUUUUUUUAAUUUAAUUUCUUUAGAUGACAUAAAUUAAACAAAAUCUAUCUUUUAUUGUAAAAAAUAUUAUAUUAGUUUUUAUAACUAUAAAUUUAUUAUUUUUUAUUAUAAAAAAGGUUUUCACUAUUAUUAUAUAAUAGGAUUUUUAAUUUAAAUUACUUGAAAAAAAAAGUUUAGGAGAAAAAAUAAAAAGAAAAAUUGUAAAAAGUCAAAAGAAGCCCGGGUUCUAGGUUUUCUCUUUCGCCCACCGCCACGCCACCCCUCACUCUCAGAUUCAAACCUUUCCGAGGUGAGGCAGAGGCUGAGCCACCACUCUCUCUCUCUAUAUAUUUCUCUCUCUCUCUCUCUAUAUAUAUAUAUAUACAUAUCUAUAUCUCUCUGAGAAACACAUAGUAGUUUUUCCAUUUGAUUUUAAUUUCUCUCUCUACUGGAGUUGGAUUUUGGUUUUCGGGGACAGAUUCCCUUCCCUGCCACGCCACCUUCUCUGUUUCUGCUAACAAGUACAAUUUUUUUGUAUUCCUUUCUGUAGAAUGGGAGCUGGGCGUGAAGUCUCUAUCUCACUUGAUGGAGUGAGGGACAAGAACCUUAUGCAGCUCAAAAAGCUCAAUCUCGCUCUUUUCCCCGUUCGUUACAAUGACAAAUACUAUGCCGAUGCUCUCGCUUCCGGCGAAUUCACCAAACUAGGUUCUUUUCUCUCUUUCUUUCUCACUUUCAUGUUACCUCAUUCUGCAUUUUUCUCCAUUAUUCCUUUUUGCUAUUUAUUUCACUAUCUUAUUCUUAAUUUCCUUUCCUCCUCGCCUGUGUAUUUCUAUAAAAGCUACUCUACCGGGUUUAUAUUUACCAUGUUAGCCUUCCUUCUGGGGAACCCGUUUGAAUGAAUAAAUAAAUGAAUGAUAAUUUAACAAUAAGUGUGUUGCCAAAAGAUGUACUUGAUAGAUUUUUGCUUUUAUUUGAUACCGGAGCAUGAAUUUGACAAUGUCGUCUUCGCUUGUGUAUUCCCUUUGAGGUUUUCUUAAGCUAUUACUGCACUUGAGUUUCUGCUCACUCUAGCAAUUUAGCUUCCUUCUCAUAAUCCAUUACUUGCCAUUUCUCUAUUUUGAAGAUUUUUUUUAAUAUGGGUGUUGCAAUUAACCAUUGCUUACACUUACUAAUCUUUGGGCAAUAACUUUUUUUUAACCUUGUUUAGUCACUAAACCGCCCAUAGCCUCUUGGAAUUAAUAGCACAAGUUUGGUUUUUACUUCUUUAUAUUAGUUUUAUUCAAUUUUCACUUGAUUUACAUUUUAACAUUACCGGAAUGAUGCUGUUUGAUGUAGCUGUCUCACCUAAUGAGAUAAAGGCUCUGCUGUUGUUACUUGUUUAAUUGAUUCGAGUUUCUUGUACAUUUUGAAUUCCUAUUUUCUAUCUUGUGCAAUUUCCUUCACGCCUUUCUAACUUUGUUGAUUCAAAAAUACCCUAACAAAGGACAAAUGGAGCUCAUUUUCAAGAGUUUUUGACUUGGACAUAUGAACAUUUAGGACCUCUUGGUUUUUCCUUUCGUAGAUAUUCGUAAUUGCGAAUUAGAUCAAAGGCUUGCCUCCCUGUCCCGUGUGUACUCUCACUCGAGCAACCUUAAUCUCAUUCUCUAUUCUAUCUCUGGUCUCUUUUGUUUCCUUGUUUUGCCUCAAUUGACCAUCAUCUCUGUUUCUGCCUUCAAAGCUGUUUCCUUAAAGGUUCAAGCUUUGUGCCUCACAUCUUUUAAGCUUCUAUUUUUCUGCCCAUGCUCUGUUGUGGAUUACUUGCUAUUAAGGAUUACCUGUGUAACUUAUUAUGACUUGUAUGUAACCUCAUAGUUAAAUUUUGUGAUUUAGGUUACUUUUGUUAUCUGUCAUUUUCUAUGCAUAUGUAUAUGUCUAGGUAUAAUUUUUCAUUUUUAGUAGGAUGUUAUGAUUAAUGUUACGACCGUAGGAUGUAUGAUUUUCAAGUCCCUUCAUGAUCUGUGCUAGUAUCUUUAUUUUGGCAACAUUGGAUAUGCUGACGGUUUGGAGAGCACUUUCAAAAUUGUUUUUUUUUUUUCCUUUUUCUGCUUUCUAUACUGAAAAUAAGUGCUCCCUCUUUGCUUUUGAUAAAUUUAUCCGCACCUCAAAGAAAAUGUACAGAGUCAUCAUAAUUGGAAUACCACACAAGUCGUCUUCAAUACUGAUAAUAUAUUACACUUGUCUUUUGGAGUUCUGAAAGCUUUUGUACUUAGACUUAGUGUUAAAGCAUAGAGGAUUUCCUUAAUCGGACCAGCUUGUUUGAUAUCUCUGCUUUCGUUUGUGCUUGAUAAUAUGGGUGAUACCCAAAGAAGGGAUGGGUAUACAAAGGACAUGCAGAAUGUAUCUUUCACUUGCCCAAGAUUGAUUGUUUUCCUUUGUCUUUCAGCUUACUACAGUGAUAUAUGUGUUGGAGCAAUUGCGUGCCGGCUAGAGAAGAAGGAAGGAGGGGGGCAAGUUCGGGUUUACAUAAUGACAUUAGGCGUUUUAGCACCUUACCGUGGACUUGGUAUUGGUAAGAAAGAAACUGAAUAUCUUUCCCUGGUGAUUUAAACUUUAAUUGAUCAUUUUUGUUAAGGACUACUUGGUGUGGAUACUUGUUUCAGUACCACAAAUACAGAUUAAUGGUUUUGUCAUUAAGUGCAAGCUUCAUAUCGGAAACAUUUUAAUUCGCUUCUUGCAAGAGUCAUAAUUAUGUAUUAUCUUUUAUAAACUAUGCAAGUUUUUGUAAUGUGAGUCUGGGGGUUUAUGCAGGAACAAAGCUGUUAAAUCAUGCUCUUGAUCUUUGCUCCAAGCAAAACAUUUCUGAGGUGUACUUGCAUGUGCAGACAAACAAUGAAGACGCCAUAAACUUCUAUAAGAAAUUUGGGUUUGAAAUUACAGAAACAAUCCACAACUAUUAUACAAACAUUACACCGCCAGACUGCUAUGUUCUCACAAGGUACACGGCUGCAAGCACAACGAAGAAAUAACAUUUUAGCCAGUUAUUUGAGGGGAAGUGAUCAGAGAUUGUUGCAUUGUUUUAUGGGUUUUGCCAUGGAUGUAUUACACUAAAGUUUUUCAUGUUCAAUGCUAGAUUUUAAACAGUACAGUUAGCUCAAAAAAAGAAGCACUUGGAGAUCUCUUGCUAAGGUACAAUCUAUGCUAUUUAUCCCGUUUACUCACAUCACCCUCCAAUCUUGUCGUUUUCGUCAAAAAUACUAUAAAGUUACAAUUCGGUACAAGGAUAUCUAGAAACAAUUGUCUAAAACGGAGGCGCAUAGAAUUAACUAAAAAAUCACAUCAAUACACUGUAAACCUAAUUAAAAUUUAUACUUAAGCUGCAACUUGCAUUUUAAAACUAAAUCUAGCUUGUCAAUUUUGAUUUAGGAGAUCAGAGGGGCCUUUCUUUCUUUAUAAUCUUUGCCUAGAAAUGGAUAACCAUUGAACUGAAUCAUGUGCCCUGUUUGGUCGUGAUUAUCAUCUUUUACUGUUGGAUUUUGGUUGUGGAAAAAACGUCUAGUUUACAGUGUAUAGUUAUAAUGGAUGUCCCACAAAAAGUCUACAAAUUUGUUAAGAGGAAAUGUAAAGUUUUGUUAGCAACUUGAACCAUAAAUUAAAAAUAUUAGGAAACCAAGAUUAACAUAUUACUUAACUGAACUUUUUGUCUUUAUAGUUUGGCUUAUGUGUUUGAUUUUUGUUUUUCUAGUUUUAUCUGGUUAAUUUUUUAUAAUGUUUAAAUGAUUAAAUUAAGUCUUUGAUAAAAACAAAAACUUUCCAUACAUAAUAGAAGUGUAAUGUAAGUGUGAAAUGCCAUUUAUUUUUAUAUAUUUACAAAAUGAAUUUAAUAUUUUAAAAAUAAAAACAAUGCUUUCGUAUUGCUAGUUUUAGAGUUAAUUUAUGAAUAUCCUAUACUUUUUUUUCUUUAUUAAUUUAUAUUGAUUAAUGUAAGAUUGCAUUUACAUUAAUUGUAAUUUGAUAAUUAAUAAGUUAUUUUGACACGGUAAAGAAUAUAAUGACUAAUUAAAUUAAACCAAGAUAAACUUCUGGAAACGACAUUUGCAUCAACUAUAAUCACUGAAGUUAAAUCAAACCACAUACGAUGAUUACACAACAAACAUUUUAUUAAUAAGUGUAUUACAAACCAUGUUAAUUAGUCAUGGAUGUCAUGGAGAUGCACAUUGUUCUGCUAUUCGAGUCACAGAAAACAAAACGAAGUACAACCAAAGAAAAUCCAAUAUGACUAUCAAACUGAGUCGUGAUUUUGGUUAAGAUAAUCAUAUUUUACAUAGAAAUACAAAAGAAAAAUAAAAUAUAAUAAAUGAUUUGGUUCAAUUUUUAUAUUAAUAAGAAAUGAAAACUGAACCAAAUUGCGAUAAAAAUGUGUUUUCCUUAAAAUAUUUGGUCUAAUUGUUUUUUCAUUUUCUUGAUUUGUUUACUUACUUGAAGGUGGAAAAUUGAUCUUAUCAGAUUUUAGAAUUUACUAUUAAAUAUAUCAAAUUUUCAAACUUUUGAAAUUUUUAUAUUUACCCACUGAGUCAUAUACUUACAUGUUAUCAUAAAAAUAUACAAAUUCAUAAAUAUUUAUGAUUUUGAAAAUAAAUCGUCCUUACUGGUGUAUCAAAUGACUUGAUUAAUUUUUUAAAAUCUAUAAUAGAACAUACAUAUAAAAGGUAACAAAAUUCGUAAUUAAUUUCAUAUUAAGGGAGAAAAGGGAAAAACAUUUUUUUUUACCAACCAUAUGGUUAGGUGAAUGAAUGAUGAGAUGAAAAACUAGAUAGCAGAAGCAACAAUUUUGUAUAUAUUAUUAUAUUAUAUAUAAAUACAAUAUCUGGAAAUAAUUUGAAUUCCCCUAGAAGAAAGAAACGAUUAUUUUGACAUUUUAAUGUUGCACAGAGAUCCUAACAUAACCUAGGUGUUUUAUUUUUGUGACCUGUUGCCUAUGUUAAAAUUAUCAGACGGAGGAAAAGAUUCAUCCUUGAAAAUUUGGGAAGACGUUAUCCAUAGGAAAUAGGAAACAGGAAAUAAUAUCCAACCCUUAUCCGAUUCAUCAGAUUACGUGUACACACUUGGUUGGAGAACAAGAUCAUAAUCUCAUCUUGAGUGCAUUGCAUUGCGCCAUGCAAUAUCCACCAUGAGUUGGAUACUGGUCGUACAUGCGGGCCAAUGUAGUAGUGGCUCACCUUCCUCCAUAUCUUCCACCCCUUUGGCUUUUUAGUGGUUGCAAACACAUAUCAUUCAUCCCUAACCUUCACUUCUAUUACUCUCUUUUGCUGCACCAAUUUCAAACGCAACAAAGGAGGAGUAGUAGUAUAACCACCAUGCCUGCACAAGCUCUGCUAUCAUCUUCAUCUCUUGUCCUUUCAGCGGAGGCUGCUAGACAGACUCUCGGACCACGAUCACACCAAUCUCCCCUUGCCUUCUCCCGAAAAGCCUCCUUCAUUGUUAAGGCAGCUUCUACUCCCCCUGUCAAGGUUUCUUCCUCUCUCACUCCUUUUUUCUUCUUCUCUCUCUUCAUCUGCAUCUCUACUUAUAAAAGUUUCUUCCUUUUCGUGUUCAGCAAGGAGCAGACAGACCUUUAUGGUUUGCAUCAAAGCAAAGUCUUUCUUACUUGGAUGGCAGGUAAUAAAAAUCCUACUUUUCAACCAACUAUUGAUAAAGUUUUGCAAUUUAGAAUAGUGAAAUAAUAGUUGAUAGUAUUUGUGAAGGUGGUGGUGGAAUUGACUUUGUUUGGCAUGGUUUGGUUUGCAGCCUUCCCGGUGACUAUGGAUUUGACCCUCUUGGACUUUCAGACCCUGAAGGAACAGGAGGGUUCAUCGAGCCGAAAUGGCUAGCGUAUGGUGAGAUCAUCAAUGGUCGUUAUGCAAUGUUGGGUGCAGUUGGUGCCAUAGCACCUGAAAUUCUCGGAAAGGCUGGUCUGAUCCCUCAGGAGACAGCACUCCCAUGGUUCAGAACCGGUGUGAUCCCACCUGCAGGAACAUACAACUACUGGGCAGACUCGUACACGCUCUUUGUGUUUGAGUUGGCACUGAUGGGAUUUGCAGAGCACAGAAGAUUCCAAGACUGGGCGAAACCAGGGUCUAUGGGGAAACAAUACUUCUUAGGACUAGAAAAAGGUCUUGGAGGUUCUGGUGAUCCAGCAUACCCCGGAGGACCUUUGUUUAACCCUCUUGGUUUUGGCAAGGAUGAGAAGUCGCUGAAGGAUUUGAAGCUGAAGGAAGUCAAGAAUGGAAGGUUGGCUAUGUUGGCAAUCUUGGGUUACUUUGUUCAAGCUCUUGUGACAGGUGUUGGUCCAUACCAGAACCUCCUAGAUCAUCUUGCUGACCCUGUUCACAACAACAUCUUGACCAGUCUCAAGUUCCACUGAAUGUAUCAUAUGUUGUUACAUAUUCUUUACUCUCUGGGUUGUUGUUGUACGCAGUUACCAAAACUCAAUCACUUUUCUAUAUCCUCUCUUUGCUCUUUGGUACUGUAUCAUCAUCAUCAUCAUCUGGACAUUUUGUUCCUGGUGUGCCACUCUAAGAAAUGACAUGUAAAACAAUUAGAAACAUUUCACAGCUUCUGAUAUCUCUUUUUCUGGCUAGAUCAACCUUUCCCUCUCUCUUUUAUCAACAUUUAUACAACGGUUGCACGGACGGUCUCAUUCCUUAUUCGUUCAAACAAAUACUGAUUAAGAAAAAUUAAAUGGAUACUUCUAGCUUUCUUCAAGAUUUCUACUGCUUUUGGUAGUUCGAAUUGUUUGAGUUCAAGAUUGCUGGCUUUCUCAUCAACCAUAGUUUUCGUUAGUUAUCUAUACAUAUCUAGCUUAGUAUUAUAAAUUACAUCAAGGUUUCUAUUAGAUCUCUUCUGCUUUAUGUUGAGACAUACGUACAUUGGAUGUGGAAAAUAUCAAAUAAAUUAUACAUACAUUGAACAUUACAUGGGAAAUUUUAAAUUACUGAUAUUUCGGUUUUAUAAACAAAUUGGACAGAAUUGGAUGUAUGCCUCCUUUCACAUUCCGUUGAAGACUAAACCAGAUUGUCAUUGUGUGUACAUCUGACUCUUGUUGUGUAGGAAAGUUGACUUAAUAUACAUGCAAAAUUAUUUUAUAUGUCAAUACUCGCAUAAAUUUGUGUCAAACAUACUUUAGGAUUAAAAUUAAUGACAUUUAUUUUUCAUUUAAUCGUAUAGAUAAGCGAGAAAUCCACAUUAGUUUCUCAUGGUUAUUCAAAAUAAAAGAGUAAAUCAUAUGACAAUAGUUAUUGUGGAACAUUAUAUUGGGAUGGGAACCCCGUUCCAAUCUCCUAGACAUUCCAGAAUUGGGUCAAUUAUCUUUGCUUGACACAUGGCUGUAUAUACUUUUUCAAAUUCUUCAUCUGGUGACAGAGCUUUUUCACCUGUGAGCAACCCUAUCUCCAACUCCUCCCUCACAAAUUUGUACAGAGGAUAUGACCUGCACUCCUUGAUUCUGUUUGGAAUUGCUGGAUUGCCAUUCUCAUAAGCCACCCGUGCACUUUCAAUUUCCUUUGGCAAGAGAGACUUCAAUUCAUCCUCAAAAGCUCUAAUCUUCUCAAAAGUCAACAAACUCACAUUCUUGUCAUUAAUGACACUGCUGUGUGCUUGCUCAUAAAGCACCUGCUUUAGUUUUGGCAUCAAUGGGUACCGAACAUUUAAGGGAUCAUCAAUGUAUGAAAAUACAUAUUCUCUAUCGACCACUUUAAGCAACUCUUCCUCAGAGAGUCGAAAUGGGUUAAUUUCUUCUUUGUCUUCAGUAAUUAAUGUUUUCAGUGCAACUCUGCUUACAGUAUUCUUGACAGUGUUCUUGAAAAUUUCCUCCAAAUGCCUCAAGUCAAUAGCUUGGCAGAGUGCAACCAGAUAAGUAGAAGACAUAAGCUUUAAUAUCUCUAUGGCUUCGACAGUUUUCAGAGCCGAAAUUAAGCCCAAAGAGUUCACAUCUUGGUUGUGCUGCUCAGCACUUUGCACAUGGCUAGUUACCGGAUUUGCUAGAUAUUGAAGUUCAGAACAAUAAGCAGCCAUGGCAACUUCAGAUGCCUUAAAACCAUAAUCCAGACUUGGAUUUCUACCAACAGACAGGUUUGAUGGUAGCCCAUUACUAUACAAAUCAUUGUCUAGUUCGGUAAAUUGCGCAAAGAUGAGUUUCCCAAUUGAAGCAACAGCUAAACGUGCAUUAUCCAUUGAAACUCCAAUUGGGGUGCCUUGGAAAUUACCACCAUUCAGAGCUUUAUCCCUUGUGACAUCAAUCAAGGGAUUGUCGUUUACUGAGUUUAUUUCCCUUUCAAUUGAUUUGGUUGAAAAUCGGAUGAUUUCAAUCUGUGGUCCAAGCCAUUGAGGAGAAGUUACAAGAGCAUAACGAUCUUUUUUAGGCUUCUGCAAUGGAUCUGGCUGUUGCAGUUUAGCAUUCUUGACAUAAGAGCUUCCAUCUAGAAUGUGUUCCAUAAUAGCAGCAGCUUCAAUUUGACCUGGGUGGUACUUCAGCUUAUGUAUAAGGUGAUGUGUAAAUUCUGGCUUUCCCUGCAUGACUUCAGCAAAAACUGCUGAUAGAACUUCUGCCAAUAAAGCUAAUACGUUUGCCUCAAAAAGCACCAUAGAAGCUACACCAGACCCAACGGCUGUACCAUUUACAAGAGCGAGACCUUCUUUGGGCUUCAACUCAAUGAACCCACUUUGUAGACCAGCUAAAUGGAAAGCUUCCUUAGCAUUGAGGGACUCUCCAGAGGGUCCAACAGCUUUACUGUUUCGCCUACCCGUUAGCAAUGCAACAAUGUAUGACAGAGGAAUUAGAUCACCAGAAGCAGUAAGUGUACCACGUAACGGCAAGACUGGGGUGACAUUGUUGUUGAGGAGUUUGGUGAUAGUUUCUAAGAUUUCAAAUCUAAUUCCUGAAUACCCUUGAAGAAGGGUAUUAACCCUCACAAGCAUUGCUGCUCUCGUUGCUGAUUUCGGCAGUAUAUGAGACAACUCUGUUUCGUAGCCAAAUAUUGCACAAUUUAAAAACCUGGGAAGGAAAAGGGGUAAACCUUAAAUACAUCAACCAAAAGAAGAAUCAUAUAUGAUUCUAAUGCAACUUUAUCUGAUACAUGAAAUGAAGUUUUCAUUAGCUGAAAGUGAUAAACUCAGAAUUAUUAGUGUUUUGCCUAUGAAAUUGGAUACUCACAGAUACAUCAUCAAUCAAGCAAAGCAGAGAUGAUCCUCACCUAACCAUUUCCUUCUGAAGAGCAAGACCUUCUUGAGUUUGCCUGUUGGAGGAAGCACCAAAACCAGUGGUGACACCAUAAAUGGGGGUGCCUUUGUCGAUGUUAUCCAAGACCCAUUUGCAGCUGGCUUCAACGCCUUCCCUUGCAGACUCUGAGAGGUCAACCUUAGCCUGUAAGUAAUGGUUAGCAACAGCAGCCACCAUUGACACAGUAAGUUUCUCCUCUCCACCCAGAUGGAUCACUGCCUUCCGGUACUCGGCCACCAUUCUUUUCACUUCCUCCAAGUGGCUACCCUUAAGUGAUUCUGCUGCCUCACCCCAGUUAAGAGGGUCUAUGUUGAUCACACUAAACUCACUUUCAAUACUACCCUUUUGUUGGAUAAAGCUUGCCAUGUUUGCAAAUUGCUGAAACUAGCACUGCCAGAGAUCAAAAGUUGUACAGAAAUCUUAAUUUCAAAGCUUUAAGUAGUAGGGACUAGUGCUUGGUUGGUGAAUACCUCUAUGUGUUGGGUAGGUGGUUAGGUAGCUCUUUGAACUUUCAUACAUCAAAAUUCACAAGUGUUAGACCCAGUCAUCUUGGCAUCUUACAACCCUAUAUAUAUGAUAAUGAAUAUGUUGCCAAUUCUGCAAUAUGUUUGAAUGCUUCAACCAUUGAAGCAGUAGUCUAAAGACAAAGGACAGUGAUCAAUAUACAUUUUUAUAUUCAUUUUACACGUAAUAUAAAAAUAAAAUAUUAUAAAAGUAUAAAUUUUUAUAUUUUAAAUAAAAAAAAGUAAAAAUACAAUUAACGAAUCAAAUAAAUAUAAAAGAUUUAAACGUGUCCAUUUAACACGUAAUAUAAAAGUGUAAAUUUUUAUAUUUUAAAUAAAAAAUAAAAAAUAAAUAAAAAUAGAAAUUAACAUAAAAAGUUAAAUAAAUAUAAAAGAUUUAGACGUGUUAAAAGAAUAUUUUUUUUUUAUUUGUUAUUAUAUCUGGUAACACGAAAAUACAACAGUGUUUACUGUUUAGAUCAAAACACAUUUAAAAAUUAAUUUAUGUCAUUUUCUCAGUAGUAUUAUUAUCAAUUUUAACAGAUUUCUUCUGCAUAAAUUAAAAUAAGAAGGUAUUUAAAGAAUAUCAAGAACCAUCCUUUUACAGACUUCAAGCUUCGCUUGAGAUGGCGUAAAUUUUUUAUAUAGAAGUGUUUAUACUUUUAAUUCUAGUAUAUAUUUAAAUCAAAAUAUAUAUUAAUACUAUCAGUUAAUUUGAACUAAAGUGUCUUAUAAUUAUGACGUUGUUGAAAUUUAUACAUAUCUCAUCGAAUAAUUAAUGAGAAAGAUAAUUUUAUUUUUGUCAUAAUAACGGAUUUAUAUGAAUUUGUUUGUUAUCACUUGAAUUAAAAAGUAAUCCGUUCAAAUACUUGAAUUAUUUUAUCAAAUAUUAUUAUAAACAUAAGCAGACAUUUUGUUUUAUUACACAUGUGAUUUACCUAUUUGACUUUUUCCUUUCUUAAAAAAUAUAUAAAUUUAAUCUUAAAAAAUUAGACACGUAACAUUAAAUUACGUUGAUAUUUCCCACAAUAUUUAUCUGAAAAGAGAUUGUACAUUCUUAUUUUUUUAACCUAAUACAUAUUACUGUCAAUUGAUUCAACCUUCUUAUAUAACUAAAAUGGUUUAUUGACUUCAAAAAAUACAUUAUAUAAUUCGAAUAGAAAGAAAAUAGUUACUGCAUUUUAUAUAGUUAAAUACGUCUUAUCUUAACUCUGUAGAAUUAAUUAUGGCUUAACUCUUAUAAAUGCAUGUAUUUUGUAAUUGAUUUACAAAUUUAUAAUAUUUGGUAAAACUGAUUUCAGUUCAUCAAAUUUAUUAUCAAACUUAUUGAAAUAACUUGUUUGAUAAAAUUACAUAUUUUUCACUUUUCUACCAAAUUGAAGAACACCAACUUGAAAAAAAAUAUAUAUAUAUAUAUAUAUAUAUAUAUAUAUAUAUAUAUAUAUAUAUAUAGAUAUAGAAAAGUCAAUACAUAUAUAAAUUUUUACUAUGUAAGAUAUUCUUUAUUCUAAAACAAAUCAUCAUAGAUUUAUUUUUUAUAUCAUUUCAAAAUAUUUUUUAUCAAUAAAAAUAUUUUAUGUGUAUUUAAAUUUAUGUUUAUACAGUACUUUUGGCUAGAUAUUACAUUUAAACAAAUUACAUCAAAAAUUAAAUUAGAAAAAAGAAUGAGCAUAAUUUAACAUUCAAAAUUCAGUUUGUAUGUUUCAAACUUUAUUUUCAUGACAUUUAUCGUCAAAGUUAAUUAUCGUAUAACAAUUUGUGCUUUUUCUUAAAAAAGAAGAAGAAAUCCUUUUAAGAAAAAAAAUAUAAAAAGUGAAAAAAAUGGGUUUUAAAUGAAUUUAGUGAAUGGUAGAUAAAAUUCUUAAAUAAUAAAGUAGUGGAAAAAGGUAAUUGAAUAACAAGAAUAUUUUUAUUUUAAUUUUUUUUAACUUUAUAUUGGCAGUAAAUUUUACUUUGAGUCAAUUAACCACAUAAGAAAACUGCGCUGUCAUUUGUUUUUACUAAUUAAGGACUUUUUCUUAUUUUAAAAUAUUAUUGGAAUUAAUUAAAAAAAAUAUUGCUAUUUUUAGUAUGGAAUCAAUCGUUUAUUUAGGGAAACGUGCUAUAAUUUUUAUACAAAAUAUAAAGAAAAUAAAGCUAUAAGGGUUUGAAAAUUCAAAGUAGCCGUUGGCAGUGACGAGAGUGUCCUGUUUUAGUUCUACCCUGCACUCUCGUUCCUUGCAUUACUGUCACUGAAUCACGCUCCUUUCGUUUUUCGCUUCCUCUGUUUCCUUUUCAUUCAUUCUUUCUCUCUCUUACCUUCUUUUUUGCUUCCUCUGUUUCCUUUUCAUUCAUUCAUUCUUUCUCUCUUACCUUCGCCAUGUUUACCGAAGGUCUGGACGAGAGCGCAAUCCAAUGGAUCAAUCAGGUAGCUCUUCUUCUUUCUUCUUCUGUACGAUUCCAACUAUUUCACUUUCUUUUUU
rnacentral:lncRNA from 1 species